AAAAGAAGAUGCACAAAAGGAUGGAGGUGGGGUGAGAGUGGGCCUGGAGCCUAACAGAGGGUGCCGGCACGUGGAACCCAAGCACAGACAAACGGAGCGCCAUCUGCUGCUCUGAUAAGCCAGCAUUCUUUGUUGCACACAAAGACGUCUACUUCGUUGUCAGCGACGGAAGACCUCUACCUAAUUACAGGCAAAGCGGCAUUUUGCAAAGCCACCUCUCCCACUCUCCAUUCUGCGACAGGAGUUGGAAGCCCACAAUCUCGCCCCACAACCCCAAAGCAUCUCUGGCCAAAUUUGCGCCUCGCAUAUGACGUCUGACACCGAUUUCAUGCGGACGACCAUAAAAUAUGUAAAAAGAAGAUGCACAAAAGGAUGGAGGUGGGGUGAGAGUGGGCCUGGAGCCUAACAGAGGGUGCCGGCACGUGGAACCCAAGCACAGACAAACGGAGCGCCAUCUGCUGCUCUGAUAAGCCAGCAUUCUUUGUUGCACACAAAGACGUCUACUUCGUUGUCAGCGACGGAAGACCUCUACCUAAUUACAGGCAAAGCGGCAUUUUGCAAAGCCACCUCUCCCACUCUCCAUUCUGCGACAGGAGUUGGAAGCCCACAAUCUCGCCCCACAACCCCAAAGCAUCUCUGGCCAAAUUUGCGCCUCGCAUAUGACGUCUGACACCGAUUUCAUGCGGACGACGUUACACACUCUUCCCUUCCAUGCCAUCCUUAUUGCCCCCACUUUGGGUCACAAGUCAGCGUGACUUGACUCGGCAAUGGAGUCUCGUAGAACUGAUCAUAUAAAUAGCACCACCGAAGUAUAAUUUGUCGAUGUGGGACAAAAUUGCGCGGCCUGGCGAGUUUCUUUGUAUUUUUUUUUUCCCACUUGAAAAAGAGUAAGUGGGUUUGUUGUCGGGGCGGAGCUAGGAUUUUAUAUUUGAGGGGGCCAAAAUGUUAAACACAAAAAGUUUAGUUGUGUUGUAAAUGUGGAGCCCAAAUGCCUAUAAAUAGGGCUUCUCCAUUUGUAACAAAACACACAAUAAGAAGAGAAAAACUUCUCUCUCUCUCCAUCAAAAAAAAAAUAAAAAUGGAACGAGGUAAUUCCAUUAUAAAUGGGAAUGAACGUGAAAGAACAAACCCACAAUACGAACCCCAAAAUUUGUUAAUACUGAAUUUAUACUUGGGUGUUCGGAAUAAAAGGGAAUAUACCUACUUUGUAUGACACACUGUUUUCUAGCAGAAACAAGAAAUAUGUGGCAUACCACAAUUUGCAAUAAUACCUCAAGGGUUGUCUAUUUAAUUGUUGGAACUUCAGGUUCUCAACACUGUUAAAUUUUGAACUUCAGGCCAAAGCCACAUAUUCUCAUGGUAUGGACAUUUUUACAAUUUUCUGUACAUAUUUCGGGACUUCAAGCCCUUACAUAAUUGUCCAUAUUUUGAGGAACUUCUGGCAUCUCAUUUAAUUGCUCAUCCAUGAGUUUAAGGAACUGCAGGUUCCCUUUUGUAUAUAGUGACGGUUUACCCAAAAUGGUUCAUAUUUAUGCAUACGUCACUAUUCAUGUGAAUAGUACUAUAUCGUGGCCGUCACCAUGGGUCUAUCAGAGUUUAGACUUAUGCUCAGGCUUCCAACUGGGACCGCGACAGGAUGGAGAUCCCAAAUUUUCUCUAUCGAAGUCUGGCCUGUUUUGCAUCUCAGGUAGGUCUGGAAAGUUGCAAUUCCCAUAAGUGACAGUCUUCCAUCCUCAAAACUGCGUAAGUUCCAUUAGCAAGUUCAAUCAAAGCGGACACCGCCGCUCAUCGCCGGGCAACCACCUCUGCCUCUGCCUCUGGAAUCCACAGAUCUCAAAAACCUCAUGAAUUCCAACUUCGACUUCGAUCUGGGUCUCGGAUCGAGUCGACCUAAAUCGCUCAACGACCAGAAGAAGAAAACCUCUUCCUUUUCCUCCACCGCGACGGGGCAAUCCAGACCCCCCUGGCAACCCCGUACUGAUCACGUUCUUUGUAAGCCACGGAGAGCAGGUUGCGCUCCUCCACUGUCAGCUCACCGGCGGGGGUUGCGCCAGAGGAGGCGGACGGAAUCGAAAGCUCGGCCGAAAGGUAGCUCAUCUUCCUGCCCAGUUUGGAUAAAUCAGGGGGCGGAUCGAAAUCGGAAGAGGGUGUGGAUUUCUUGCCUCAUUCCUUCCAAGUAUCGUCCUCUUCGUCGUCUACGACAUCGUCCAGGUCGUCAGUGAUCUACAUGAACAGCAAGCAUAGCCCAUCUGCAGUGAAUGAGCUCAGACUCCUUGGACCUCUCUAAGUUUUCUGGCACUUCUCCUAGCCGAAGUGGGUGAGCAUAGGAAUUGGGGUGUGGUUGAGGCCAAAGAAACUAGAAAGAAGCUUGAGGGAGCAAGGCCUUACGGGCAAUUCCUACAAGCUUUUGUUUGGAGACACCAAAGAGAGCUCAAUGAUGCUGGAUUGAGUUUUGGGGUUGAAUUGGUGCAGUGACUCAGAGAUGACUUUGUGAGAGAAAAUAUUGAAGCAGAUGGAAUUCAUCCGAACACUCCCCCUUGGAGACCACAAGCGAAUUCGUGCUGAUAACGUGUUAUAAAUCAAGAGGAAUUGGAGAGGGAAUUGAGAGAGAAUUUAGAUGGAGAGAGAGAGAAGUUUUUCUCUUCUUAUUGUGUGUUUUGUUACAAAUGGAGAAGCCCUAUUUAUAGGCAUUUGGGCUCCACAUUUACAACACUCCCCCUUGGAGACCACAAAUGAUACAGAAUAUGUCUCGUUAAAAACCUUGCCAGUAAAAACCCAGUGGGACAAAAACUGGUCAAAGGGAAAAAGAGUACAUAAUCAUGUGUAAUAUAAAAUUCUAUGUAUAUUGACGCGCGUGCGACACUGCCUCGUUAAAACCUUGCCAGGAAAAAUCCAGUGGGAUAAAAACCUGGACGAAGGAAAAAGAGUACAGUGUUUGAAGAUCUUUAUUGAUAGCGCGCUCCCCCUGAUGCUUGGCAAAAUAUCUUUAAGUCAUACUGUUGUUCACCUUUCUGAAUAUCGUAGUUGACACUGCUUCUGUGAGUCAAUCUUGAGUGACACUGCCUCGUUAAAACCUUACCAGGAAAAACCCAGUGGGAUAAAAACCUGGAUGAAGGAAAAAAAGUACAGUGUAUGAAGGUCUUUAUUAAAACCAUGCUCCCCCUGAUGAAUAUCUCCCCCUGAAAAAUUUAGGACUAGCUUUUGUCCAGUAAGCGACUAUAGAAAUUUUCAUAGUAUACCCUAAACCCUUGAGCUACACUGCCUCGUUAAAACCUUACCAGGAAAAACCCAAUGGGAUAAAAACCUGGAUGAAGGAAAAAGAGUACAGUGUGGAGCUGAGCUCUAUCUGGUCUAGUAUACUUCCGGAAAAAUAUUUAAGGACCAACGGAUAAGACUCAUAAAAAUACUUCAAUACUUUGUUAGUAUAAGCAAGAAUCUCGUUGGCAUAAUGCUCAGUCGAGACAAAUAUUUCGUGAAUUCUGCAGAAGCUUUAAUGUGUUGCAAUCACAUUAUAAUCAAUGUACUCACUGAGGUAAUUUAUGCAUAUUAAUCUUGAGUACAAAUUUUGUGCUUCAAGCACAUGUCCUUUAGGGACUUGCUUUAUGCAAUGUCAAUCCUCUCAACGGAUUUUGUUUAAAAAGGGGAUUAAACUUUAUGACACAUUAUAUAGCUUUAACCCAGCUAUUUAUACAUCUUUAGGGAAUCUCUUCUGGCGAUAUGCUCCGUGCAUUUAAUAACCCUUAAAGAUAAUAUGUUGGUCUCCGUAAUUGUGUAAUAAGGGGGGGCACAAUUGAAUCUGUAAAUAUGGAGAAAACCCAACAUUCCUUGUUUCUGCUAGAAAACAGUGUGUCAUACAAAGUAGGUAUAUUCCCUUUUAUUCCGAACACCCAAGUAUAAAUUCAGUAUUAACAAAUUUUGGGGUUAGUAUUGUGGGUUUGUUCUUUCACGUUCAUUCCCAUUUAUAAUGGAAUUACCUCGUUCCAUUUUGGCCAAUGAUAUUGUCGACAUUUAAUAAUUGAACGUGGUUCCAAUCAACACAGCCCAUUGAUGAUUUGAGUAGCUACUCCAAAACCAAAAAUUGUCAUUCAUCAAUUCAUGAUCCCAUCAUUCUCAUUUGCAUGCGCGUGCAUCAAUUAUAAGCAUUUCUUUGCUUUUGGGUACCCAAGCCACUGCAGGGGGCUUUUAUUAUGUGAGAAUGUGGAUUAUAACCUCCAAUGGAGCGUUAUUUUAUAGUAGGGCGUGGAUAAUCUCCAUUUAGGGAGUUGGAACAUUUAGAACCCAUAUAUCUGUCAUGCUGCAGGCAUGCCACAGAUUAAUACAUACAUGUCAAUUAAUUUAUGGGACUUUAACCCAUAUAAUUUGCUACGCAUUAGGCGUGCAUAAUAUCAAUAUUGACAUGUCAAAGGAUUGUCCUUUCGGGACUUCAAUCCAUAUCAUUUGCUACGCAACAGGCGUGCACCCAUAUAUCUGUCAUGCUGCAGGCAUGCCACAGAUUAAUACAUACAUGUCAAUUAAUUUCUGGGACUUUAACCCAUAUUAUGGGACUUUAACCCAUAUAAUUUGCUACGCAUUAGGCGUGCAUAAUAUCAAUAUUGACAUGUCAAAGGAUUGUCCUUUCGGGACUUCAAUCCAUAUCAUUUGCUACGCAACAGGCGUGCAUCAUAUUGAUCACUGCUAUACCCAUAUUCUGUUCUUAUGGUACAUUAAUCUGUGCAGUGUAUUAUCAAUGUAUCCAACUUGCAAUCUGUAAAAUUUGCAUUAAUAAUUCAUGGAUACAUACAAGCCAUUCUUUUGGAACGGACUUAUCUUCCCAUUCGGUUACCUUUCAAGAUAAAAUAUCAAAUAGGUAUAUAAGCAUAAAAUAACACAAGUAUUGCUUACAUCCUUAGGUGGGAGAAACUUUUCUCAAGUAUCAUUCAAGCUCGUAUCGGCCCAGUAAAUAUAAAGUAUCGCUUGAUGAUCUUGUUAUAAACGGAAAAAGAAGAGGAAAGAAACAAAGAAGAGGAGAGGAAAGAGAGAAGAGAGAAGAGGAAAGAGAAGAGGAAAGAAAGAAGGGGAAAGAGAAAAGAGGAAAGAGAGAAAAGGAAAGAGACAAGAGGAAGAGAAGGAAGAAAGAGGAAAGAGAGAGCAGAGAGAAAUUCUCCUAGAGAGAAACUUCAGUGAGCCACACAUAUUGUAAACACUAAAGUUGUAGCCCUAUUAUUUUACAUAGUGAAAAAGUUACUACUGCUGCUCUCCGGGGACGUAGGCAUAGCCGAACCUCGUUAAAUACUGUGUCUCAUCUACUUUACGUGCAGCUCAAUAUUCGCACAUAUUCCAGGUCAUUUUAUAACACGUUAUCAGCACGAGAAGCUCUCAGGUAUAAUUUUUGUGCUGCACUAUUAUUUAUACUACUAACCAUUAUGUUGAUGUAAAGAAGAAAAGCCAACGCAUCUAGCUUUCCACUAAUAUAUCAGUAUAAUAUAUAUAUAUUAUAUAUAUGAAAAGUUGAUGGUAAUAUAAUAUACUAUAUUUAUCUGCUUUUCUAUUACUAACCACUAACAAAAAUGGACCCUUGAUAAUACUAAACAUAUUAUCAGUGGGAGACCGUUACUAAUACUAACAUUUUUCUUAUUUUAUUCGGUGGUGGUUUUAACCCCAUAUUUAUUUUAUUUACUGUAUGGUGUAGGUUUAUUACCCAUACAACAGUAUUUAUUUAAAAGGGUGGUGCGGGUUUAUCGUCCACGCCUUUGCUUUUAUUUAAAUCUAUGGAGCAGAAUUAGUGCCCAUACAAGCACGUUUACUUUAUCGCAAAUUUACUUUUACUUAAAGUAUUAUUUAUGGUAUGGUGUAGGUUUAUUACCCAUACGGCAAUAUUUAUUUAAAGGGUGGUGCAGGUUUAUCAUCCACGCCUUUGCUUUUAUUUAAAUGUAUGGAGCAGAAUUAGUGCCCAUACAAGCACGUUUACUUUACCGCACAUUUAAUUUUAUUUAAGGUAUGGUGCGGGAUUAACGUCCAUACAGCAAGCUAUUUAAUUUGUUUAAGGUAUGGUGUGGGAUUAACGUCCAUACAGCAAGCUAUUUAAUUUAUUUAAAGUGUGGUGCGGGUUUAUCGUCCAUACAACAGUAUUUAUUUAAAAGGGUGGUGCGGGUUUAUGGUCCACGCCUUUACUUUUAUUUAAAUGUAUGGAGCAGAAUUAAUGCCCAUACAAGCACCUUAACUUUAUGAAUUUAAUUUACCGCACAUUUACAUUUAUUUAAAGUGUGGUGCGGGUUUAUCGUCCAUACCAGUAAUUUAUUUAUCAGCAAUUUAUUUUAUGGAUUAAUUCUGCUGUAUGAUGAGUUUUUACAGUAUGCAGAUCAGGACCAGAAGUUCCUUGAUCCUCAUCAUACAAUUACAUCAGGACUUGAAGAUCCUUGAUGAUGAUAUUAAUAUGAGAGCUGGCAGUCUCUCCGGUACUGUAUUUGUAAACAUGUGAUCGGACUUAAGGGUCCUUGAUCCCUGACAUGUAAAUAAAGCUUCUCAAGAGUUCCUUAAUGAUGUAACAGUACCGUAUUGGUUCAUAGUGCCAUACACAUUGAUGAUAACUGUACUGGCAGAUGAAUAGAUACGUAUUCAUGACUUGAUGAAUAGUACUAUUCACAUGAAUAGUGACGUAUGCAUAAAUAUGAACCAUUUUGGGUAAACCGUCACUAUAUACAAAAGGAAACCUGCAGUUUCAUGGUGCCGUACACAUUGAUGAUAACUGUACUGGCAGAUGAAUAGAUACGUAUUCAUGACUUGAUGAAUAGUAUUAUUCACAUGAAUAGUGACGUAUGCAUAAAUAUGAACCAUUUUGGGUAAACCGUCACUAUAUACAAAAGGGAACCUGCAGUUCCUUAAACUCAUGGAUGAGCAAUUAAAUGAGAUGCCAGAAGUUCCUCAAAAUAUGGACAAUUAUGUAAGGGCUUGAAGUCCCGAAAUAUGUACAGAAAAUUAUAAAAAUGUUCAUACCAUGAGAAUAUGUGGCUUUGGCCUGAAGUUCAAAAUUUAACAGUGUUGAGAACCUGAAGUUCCAACAAUUAAAUGGACAACCCUUGAGGUAUUAUUGCAAAUUUUGGUAUGCCACAUAUUUCUUUGGCAUAAGAAGAUGAUGAAUUUAAAGUUCGAUUUUGUUAUAAUCGACACCUCAAGGAAGAAAUAUAUUUUGUGAAUUCCGGUUGUUAAGAAUACACCGCGAAAUGGAUAAUAUCAAUAUAAACCUCAAAUAAUGAAUUGAGGCUCCCCACAUAUUUUGUUAUAUCUGGGCUGGAAGCCCAUGGAUCCAAAUAUAUGAGAGAUCCUGAACUUGAAGUUGUGGGUAUAUGGUAGUUAAUGCUCUUCACUACUAUAUUGCGAUAUUAUCAUGGCUUUUACUCAAUUCACAUUUCAUGUCCAUUUGAAAAGGGCAAAUAAAUUAUGAGUUUGUGCCCAGGCCAAAAGUUCCGGGCUACCAUGCAAUUUGGGAGAGACAAUGUGGUUAUUUGAACCUAUAAGGCACAAGGUUCCAAACCGUCAUUUUGAAAAGACGUAAAAACCACAGGUGCAAGUUUAAGAAUGUGCGCAAUUAUUAUUACAGGAACAUACAACAGAUAAAUUUUUUCCACCUGCAAUGAAGGUGCAGGCCCUGUAAAAUCUAUAAAAUUACAUUAUGUUCUGGAAGCCUCUGAAGGAAGAGUACGGCGCCUCUUAAGCUUGGCCAUGAGCUUCUCGUGGUCUCCCAAAAUUCUUUCAUUGGAUACCUGCAGCAUGUCUGGCCUUCUCAGUGUAUCAACGGAGUACGAACUCACCAGUUUCAGGAAGGAAUUAUUCUCCCCUUUAAGUUUCUCAACCUCCUGUUGAGACUCAUGAAGCAUUCUUUGAAGAGACGAAUUUUCAGUUGUCAGCUUCUCAACCUCGUUUGCUCUAGCACGCAAACGAUCAGCCAUGUUAGAAACAGAAGCAGCACUCUGAAUGCUAAAAGCCAUUGAGUCAUCAAUAGCCUCUUCCUCAGACCUCCCUGUUAACAGCAUUUCAUCCAUUGGAGUAAUGAAAUUCCUAGCUACUAUGACAGCAGUAGCAUCAUUCAUCAUCACAGAAUCAUUAACUCUGAGAUGACGAUUUUGGGAUACAAAGGAUGGACGCCAAACUUGGGCAUCAUUGGUAGUUGUGGGAGCAUCAUUUAAAUUGAAAUAAUUUGGGCAGGAAGAAGAGGAAGCCAUUUUUAAGAAGGUUUCGAAGAAAGUCUUAGGAAAACUAAAGUUUCAGAAAAUGAAGAAAUUUGAGUUGAAACGCAGUUGCUCCAAUCAAGUUUUACAAAGGCAAUAUCUAUAGACGAAAAUGUGGCAACAUUUCCAGGAUCCCAAUAUCUUCUCGAAUCCCCAUAUUAUCUUUUUCUUUCCCAGAGUCCAAAACUUCACGUGGCCUCUAAUAAUGCCUGUCGGCACUUUCGGCGUUUUCAAGUAUUAUUUUCGUCAAAGCUGAUCUUGCUUUACGGAUUUCACGGAGCUACUUUUUUAAAAGUAUCCUGAGAAUCUCACAAUUUUCCUAUGGUUAAUUUGAAAUUCACAGGUUCUACCUAUUCAUUGUAUUUGUGUAUAAAUGUGUUACUAACGAAAUUUUCUUUGCAGAAGACAUCCAGCUUACUCCAUACCUAGUGAUGCGAUAUCUACUUAUUUUUCUUAUCAGUGAGCACUUAAUAUGCCCGAGAAGCAAGACUAUCUCUGAUCAUCCAUUCAGGAAGCGAGACUAUCCCUGAUCACGUUUCCGCCACAUCAGGGAACUGUGAAGGCAACCUUAUGCUCUAAUCUCCGGAAGUUCUUCUAAACUAGAAGAAAUGAGAGCUUGUCGUUUGCUCCUACCAGCUUCCUUCCUUGAUUGCUUACCUUACCUUGCAAUCAAUAUCACAAUCUUAUAUACCUAUUUGAUAUUUUAUCUUGAAAGGUAACCAAAUGGGGAGAUAAGUCCGUUCCAAAAGAAUGGCUUGUAUGUAUCCAUGAAUUAUUAACGCAAAUUUUACAGAUUGCAAGUUGGAUACAUUGAUAAUACACUGCACAGAUUAAAGUACCAUAAGAACAGAAUAUGGGUAUAGCAGUGAUCAAUAUGGGUGCACGCCUGUUGCGUAGCAAAUGAUAUGGAUUGAAGUCCCGAAAGGACAAUCCUUUGACAUGUCAAAAUUGAUAUUAUGCACGCCUAAUGCGUAGCAAAUUAUAUGGGUUAAAAUCCCAUAAUAUGGGUUACAAUCCCAGAAAUUAAUUGACAUGUAUGUAUUAAUCUGUGGCAUGCCUGCAGCAUGACAGAUAUAUGGGUUCUAAAUGUUCCAACUCCCUAAAUGGAGAUUUUCCACGCCCUAUGUAAAAUAACGCCCCAUUGGAGGUUAUAAUCCACAUUUUCACAUAAUAAAAGCCCCCUGAAGUGGCUUGGGUACCCAAAAGCAAAGAAAUGCUUAUAAUUGAUGCACGCGCAUGCAAAUGAGAAUGAUGGGAUCAUGAAUUGAUGAAAGACAAUUUUUAGUUUUGGAGUAGCUACUCAAAUCAUCAAUGGGCUGUGUUGAUUGGAACCACGUUCAAUUAUUAAAUGUCGACAAUAUCAUUGGCCAAAAUGGAACGAGGUAAUUCCAUUAUAAAUGAGAAUGAACGUGAAUGAACAAACCCACAAUACGAACCCCAAAAUUUGUUAAUACUGAAAUUUAUACUUGGGUGUUCGGAAUAAAAGGGAAUAUACCUACUUUGUAUGACACAAUGUUUCUGGCAGAAACAAGGAAUGUUGGGUUUUCUCCAUAUUUACAGAUUCAAUUGUGCCCCCCCUUAUUACACAAUUACGGAGACCAACAUAUUAUCUUUAAUGGUUAUUAAAUGCAAGGAGCAUAUCGCCAGAAGCGAUUUCCUAAAGAUAUAUAAAUAGCUGGGUAAAAGCUAUAUAAUGUGUCAUAAAGUUUAAUCCCCUUUUUAAACAAAAUCCGUUGAGAGGAUUGACAUUGCAUAAAGCAAGUCCCUAAAGGACAUGUGCUUGAAGCACAAAAUUUGUACUCAAGAUUAAUAUGCAUAAAUUACCACAGUGAGUACAUUGAUUAUAAUGUGAUUGCAACACAUUAAAGCUUCUGCAGAAUUCAUGAAAUAUUUGUCUCGAUCGAGCAUUAUACCAACGAGAUUCUUGCUUGUACUAAGAAAGUAUUGAAGCAUUUUUAUGAGGAUUAUCCGUUGGACACUUUAAGGAUUUUCCGGAAGUAUACUAGACCAGAUAGAGCUCAGCUCCACACUGUACUCUUUUUCCUUCAUCCAGGUUUUUAUCCCACUGGGUUUUUCCUGGUAAGGUUUUAACGAGGCAGUGUCGCUCAAGGGUUUAGGGUAUACUAUGAAAAUUUUUAUGGUCGCUUACUGGACAAAAGCUAGUCCUAAAUUUUUCAGUUAUAAAAUGACCUGGAAUAUGUGCGAAUAUUGAGCUGCACGUAAAGUAGAUGAGACACAAUAUUUAACGAGGUUCGGCUAUGCCUACGUCCCCGGAGAGCAGCAGUAGUAACUUUUCCACUAUGUAAAAUAAUAGGGCUACAACUUUAGCGUUUACAAUAUGUGUGGCUCACUGAAUUUUCUCUCUAGGAGAAUUUCUCUCUGCUUUCUCUUUCCUCUUUCUUCCUUCUCUUCCUCUUGUCUCUUUCCUUUUCUCUCUUUCCUCUUUUCUCUUUCCCCUUCUUUCUUUCCUCUUCUCUCUUCUCUCUUUCUUUCCUCUUCUUUGUUUCUUUCCUCUUCUUUUUCCGUUUCUCCCUUUCUCUUCUUUUUUUCUCAUUCUUUUCACUUUGCAGGUUGCCUAUUUAUAGGCAUUGAUAAAUGGCACCCGUGAUUCAUCUUCACUAUUCACUAUUCGCCCGUGAAUAAACUCAUGCACCAAAGUCUACAAACAAAUAGUAAGUGGGCUCCACUACUUUAUAUUUUACAACACUCCCCCUUGGAGACCACAAAUAAUAUGUCAGUUGCUUCAUCAGACUUUGCUUGAAGAAAACCUAGUAAGGUAGAGAACUGAUGGAAGGAAGAAAGAAGAGUACAACAAUCUGUAUAGCAUACUUCUGGAUGCUCCCCCUGAUUAAUAUCUCCCCCUGAUGUCUUCAUAACUAUCUUUUGGAGUGAGAAUCUUUCGGAGUGAGUGAAUGAUGUAGCCACCAACAAUUCAUAUAGUAAAUAUAUUUCCAGUGAGCUAUCUCUAUGUAAAUCAAAGAAAUUUUUAGAGUCCGCGUUUCCAACAAAACCUGGGCUAUUUGUAAGAUCAUAUGAAAGAAUAUGCCCAUACAUGGUGUUAUGCGGAGAUAGCAUCAAAUAUACCUCACAUCAUCCCAAAAUGAUGGUGAUGGAGUUGAGCCUUAUCCGGAAAAUAUGAUGUCCGGUCCAAUACACUUCCGGAAAAUCCUUAAAGUGCCCAACGGAUAAUCCUCAUAAAAAUGCUUCAAUACUUUCUUAGUAUAAGCAAGAAUCUCGUUGGCAUAAUGCUCGAUCUUUAAGUCGAGACAAAUAUUUCGUGAAUUCUGCAGAAGUUUUAAUGUGUUGCAAUCACAUUAUAAUCAAUGUACUCACUGAGGUAAUUUAUGCAUAUUAAUCUUGAGUACAAAUUUUGUGCUUCAAGCACAUGUCCUUUAGGGACUUGCUUUAUGCAAUGUCAAUCCUCUCAACGGAUUUUGUUUAAAAAGGGGAAUAAACUUUAUGACACAUUAUAUAGCUUUUACCCAGCUAUUUAUAUAUCUUUAGGAAAUCGCUUCUGGCGAUAUGCUCCUUGCAUUUAAUAACCCUUAAAGAUAAUAUGUUGGUCUCCGUAAUUGUGUAAUAAGGGGGGGCACAAUUGAAUCUGUAAAUAUGGAGAAAACCCAACAUUCCUUGUUUCUGCCAGAAACAUUGUGUCAUACAAAGUAGGUAUAUUCCCUUUUAUUCCGAACACCCAAGUAUAAAUUUCAGUAUUAACAAAUUUUGGGGUUCGUAUUGUGGGUUUGUUCUUUCACGUUCAUUCUCAUUUAUAAUGGAAUUACCUCGUUCCAUUUUGGCCAAUAAUAUUAUCGAAAUUUAAUAAUUGAACGUGGUUCCAAUCAACACAGCCCAUUGAUGAUUUGAGUAGCUACUCCAAAACCAAAAAUUGUCAUUCAUCAAUUCAUGAUCCCAUCAUUCUCAUUUGCAUGCGCGUGCAUCAAUUAUAAGCAUUUCUUUGCUUUUGGGUACCCAAGCCACUGCAGGGGGCUUUUAUUAUGUGAGAAUGUGGAUUAUAACCUCCAAUGGAGCGUUAUUUUAUAGUAGGGCGUGGAUAAUCUCCAUUUAGGGAGUUGGAACAUUUAGAACCCAUAUACCUGUCAUGCUGCAGGCAUGCCACAGAUUAAUACAUACAUGUCAAUUAAUUUCUGGGACUUUAACCCAUAUAAUUUGCUACGCAUUAGGCGUGCAUAAUAUCAAUAUUGACAUGUCAAAGGAUUGUCCUUUCGGGACUUCAAUCCACAUCAUUUGCUACGCAACAGGCGUGCAUCAUAUUGAUCACUGCUAUACUCAUAUUCUGUUCUUAUGGGACUUUAAUCUGUGCAGUGUAUUAUCAAUGUAUCCAACUUGCAAUCCGUAAAAUUUGCGUUAAUAAUUCAUGGAUACAUACAAGCCAUUCUUUUGGAACGGACUUAUCUCCCCAUUUGGUUACCUUUCAAGAUAAAAUUUCAAAUAGGUAUAUAAGCAUAAAAUAACACAAGUAUUGCUUACAUCCUUAGGUGGGAGAAACUUUUCUCAAGUAUCAUUCCAGCUCGUAUCGGCCCAGUAAAUAUAAAGUAUCGCUUGAUGAUCUUGUUAUAUCCUGCAAGAGCAAAAAUCACAAUUCUUUUCUCUGUCAAAAACAAAUAACUCUCAGAGUUAGGAUCACUGCAUGGAUUCAUUCUUCAGAUGUUCAUUCUAAAGAAAUAAAAUCUCUUAUGAACAGAGAGUUAUAAAAAGAGAAAAAAUGCAAAAAUAAUGUGAUAUUGAUUUCAAGGUAAGGUAACCAAUCAAGGAAGGAAGCUGGUGGGAGCAAACAACAAGCUCUCAUUUCUCCUAGUCUAGAAAGACCUCAGGAGAUUGGAGCAUAAGGUCGCCUUCACAGUUUCCUGAUGUAGCGGAAACAUGAUCAGGGAUAGUCUUGCUUCCUGAAUGGAUGAUCAGAGAUAGUCUUGCUUCUCGGGCAUAUUGAGUGCUUACUGAUAAGAAAAACAAGUAGAUAUCGCAUCACUAGGUAUGGAGUAAACUGGAUGUCCUCUGCCAAGAAAAUUUCGUUAGUAACACAUUUAUACACAAAUACAAUGAAUAGGUAGAACCGGUGAAUUUCAAAUUAACCAUAGGAAAAUUGCGAGAUUCUCGGGAUGCUUUUGAAAAAGUAGCUCCGUGAAAUCCGUAAAGCAAGAUUGGCUUUGAAAAUAAUACUUGAAAACGCCGAAAGUGCCGACAGGCAUUAUUAGAGGCCACGUGAAGUUUUGGACUCUGGGAAAGAAAAAGAUAAUAUGGGGAUUCGAGUUCCCUUUUGUAUAUAGUGACGGUUUACCCAAAAUGGUUCAUAUUUAUGCAUACGUCACUAUUCAUGUGAAUAGUACUAUUCAUCAAGUCAUGAAUACGUAUCUAUUCAUCUGCCAGUACAGUUAUCAUCAAUGUGUACGGCACUAUGAACCAAUACGGUACUGUUACAUCAUUAAGGAACUCUAGGUUCUUAUUUACAUGUCAGGGAUCAAGGACCCUUAAGUCCGAUCACAUGUUUACAAAUACAGUACCGGAGAGACUGCCAGCUCUCAUAUUAAUAUCAUCAUCAAGGAUCUUCAAGUCCUGAUGUAAUAUGAUGAGGAUCAAGGAACUUCUGGUCCUGCGACACUGCCUCGUUAAAACCUUGCCAGGAAAAACCCAAUGGGAUAAAAACCUGGACGAAGGAAAAAGAGUACAGUGUUUGAAGAUCUUGAUUGAUAGUGCGCUCCCCCUGAUGCUUGGCAAAAUAUCUUUAAGUCAUACUGUUGAUCAGCUUUCUGAAUAUCGUAGUUGACACUGCUGCUGUGAGUCAAUCUUGAGUGACACUGCCUCGUUAAAACCUUACCAGGAAAAACUCAGUGGGAUAAAAACCUGGAUGAAGGAAAAAGAGUACAGUGUAUGGAGGUCUUUAUUAAAACCAUGCUUCCCCUGAUGAAUAUCUCCCCCUGAAAAAUUUAGGACUAGCUUUUGUCCAGUAAGAGACCAUAAAAACACAAGUAUUUCUUACAUCCUUAGGUGGGAGAAACUUUUCUCAAGUAUCAUUCAAGCUCGUAUCGGCCCAGUAACGCUUGAUGAUCUAGUUAUAUCCUGCAAGAGCAAAAAAUCACAAUUCUUUUUCUGUCAAAAACAAAUAACUCUCAGAGUUAGGAUCACUGCAUGGAUUCAUUCUUCAGAUGUUCACUCUAAAGAAAUAAAAUCCCUUAUGAACAGAGAGUUAUAAAAAGAGAAAUAAUGCAAAAAUAAUGUGAUAUUGAUUGCAAGAGAAGGUAAGCAAUCAAGGAAGGAAGCUGGUGGGAGCAAACAACAAGCUCUCAGUUCUCCUAGUCUAGAAGGACCUCAGGAGAUUAGAGCAUAAGAUCGCCUUCACAGUUUCCUGAUGUAGCGGAAACGUGAUCAGGGAUAGUCUUGCUUCCUGAAUGGAUGAUCAGAGAUAGUCUUGCUUCUCGGGCAUUUUAAAUGCUCACUGAUAAGAAAAACAAGUAGAUAUCGCAUCACUAGGUAUGGAGAAAACUGGAUGUCUUCUGCAAAGAAAAUUUCGUUAGUAACACAUUUAUACACAAAUAAGAUGAAUAGGUAGAACUGGUGAAUUUCAAAUUAACCAUAGAAAAAUUGCGAGAUUCUCGAGGUACUUUUGAAAAGUAGCUCCGUGAAAUCCGUAAAGCAAGAUCGGCUUUUGAUGAAAAUAAAACUUUGAAAACGCCGAAAGUGCCGACAAACAUUUAAUGGAGGCCACGUGAAGUUUUGGAAUCUGGGAAAGAAAAAGAUAAUAUGGGGAUCUGAGAUAAUAUUGGGAUCCUGGAAACUGUAGCCAUAUUUCCUCCUAUAGAUAUGGCCUUUGCAAAACUUGAUUGGAGCAACUGCGUUUCAACUUGCUCUUUUCCUGUUAUAAUAAUUGCGCACAUUCUUAAAAUUUGCACCUGUGGUUUUUUACGUCUUUUCAAAAUGACGGUUUGGAACCUUGUGCCUUAUAGGUUCAAAUAACCACAUUGUCUCUCCCAAAUUGCAUGGUAGCCCGGAACUUUUGGCCUGGGCACAAACUCAGAAUUUAUUUGCCCUUUUCAAAUGGACAUGAAAUGUGAAUUGAGUAAAAGCCAUGAUAAUAUCGCAAUAUAGUAGUGAAGAGCAUUAACUACUAUAUACCCACAACUUCAAGUUCAGGAUCUCUCAUAUAUUUGGAUCCAUGGGCUUCCGGCCCAGAUAUAACAAAAUAUGUGGGGAGCCUCAAUUCAUUAUUUGAGGUUUAUAUUGAUAUUAUCCAUUUCGCGGUGUAUUCUUAACAACCGGAAUUCACAAAAUAUAUUUCUUCCUUGAGGUGUCGAUUAUAACAAAAUCGAACUUUAAAUUCAUCAUCUUCUUAUGCCAAAGAAAUAUGUGGCAUACCACAAUUUGCAAUAAUACCUGAAGGGUUGUCCAUUUAAUUGUUGGAACUUCAGGUUCUCAACACUGUUAAAUUUUGAACUUCAGGCCAAAGCCAUAUAUUCUCAUGGUAUGGACAUUUUUACAAUUUUCUGUACAUAUUUCGGGACUUCAAGCCCUUACAUAAUUGUCCAUAUUUUGAGGAACUUCUGGUAUCUCAUUUAAUUGCUCAUCCAUGAGUUUAAGGAACUGCAGGUUCCCUUUUUUAUAUAGUGACGGUUUACCCAAAAUGGUUCAUAUUUAUGCAUACGUCACUAUUCAUGUGAAUAGUACUAUUCAUCAAGUCAUGAAUACGUAUCUAUUCAUUUACCAGUACAGUUAUCAUCAAUGUUUACGGCACCAUGAAACUGCAGGUUCCCUUUUGUAUAUAGUGACGGUUUACCCAAAAUGGUUCAUAUUUAUGCAUACGUCACUAUUCAUGUGAAUAGUACUAUUCAUCAAGUCAUGAAUACGUAUCUAUUCAUCUGCCAGUACAGUUAUCAUCAAUGUGUACGGCACUAUGAACCAAUACGGUGCUGUUACAUCAUUAAGGAACCCUAGAUCCUUAUUUACAUGUCAGGGAUCAAGGACCCUUAAGUCCGAUCACAUGUUUACAAAUACAGUACCGGAGAGACUGCCAGCUCUCAUAUUAAUAUCAUCAUCAAGGAUCUUCAAGUCCUGAUGUAAUUGUAUGAUAAGGAUCAAGGAACUUCUGGUCCUGAUCUGCAUACUGUAAAAACUCAUCAUACAGCACAAUUAAUCCAUAAAAUAAAUUGCUGGUAAAUAAAUUACUGGUAUGGACGAUAAACCCGCACCAUACAUUUGAAUAAAAGUAAAGGCGUGGAUGAUAAACCCGCACCACCCUUUUAAAUAAAUGUAAAUGUGCAGUAAAUUAAUUUCAUAAAUUAAAUUGCUUGCUGUAUGGACGUUAAUCCCGCACCAUACCUUAAAUAAAAUUAAAUGUGCGGUAAAGUAAAGGUGCUUGUAUGGGCACUAAUUCUGCUCCAUACAUUUAAAUAAAAGUAAAGGCGUGGGCGAUAAACCCGCACCACCCUUUUAAAUAAAUACUGUUGUAUGGGUAAUAAACAUACACCAUACAGUAAAUAAAAUAAAUGUGCGGUAAAGUAAAUUUGCAGUAAAGUAAAUUUCAUAAAGUAAAGUGUUAGUAUUAGUAACGGUCUCCCACUGAUAAUAUGUUUAGUAUUACCAAGGGUCCAUUUUUGUUAAUGGUUGGUAAUAGAAAAGCAGAUAAAUAUAAUAUGAAAUAAUAGAGAAGAUAAGGGAGCAGAGAUCUUAUCGCUUAUUCUUUCGCUUAUGCCAUUGCUGAGUGAUCCCCUUUUAUUUUAUUUUAUUUAUUUGUUUAUUUAUUUAUUUUUUAUUUUUUAUUUUUUAUUUUUUAUUUUUUCUUUCUGUCGGUGGGUUUGCUGUUGGAUCUUUUCCUGAGUGCCCUUGCUUUUUCUGAGUGAUCCCUUUGUGAGUGCCCUUGCUUUUCUGAGUGAUCUUUUUCUUUCAAAAACUUCCAGUGGGUAUCUUUUUCUUUCACUGCUCGGAAAGACCCUGUCCAAAACUUGUAGCCACUGUACCCUCUUAGCCCCACGUCAACCGUGCGAGAGAAAAGAUGGGCAAGAGAGGCACCCCAGCCACCAUCACCGAAAGACUCCUUGGUGAUUGAGUCACCCAAAAGGUAAAUCUUUGGCCUCAUCUUUUGAUUUGAUGAGAGAGAGAGAGCCCUGAGCUUGGUGGGCUUAGCCUUGCGCUUGUUGACAAGCGGCUUCUUGACGUCAUCGGCAGGAUAGAACUUGGGCGGCUUCUGGGGUUGGGUCACAGCCGCUGGCUUCGCGUCAUGGCGUGGGAAAACGCCGCCGUUUUUGGCCUUGAUGGCCCAAAGACCACGCUUGCGGGACAUCUUGGACCUCGAGAACUUACCCACCCCACGAACCAGAUCUGGUCGAUAUGUUCCUCGAGCUGUGCUCAUGGAUCUGGAGCCUAGCACCAUGGACAGCAUCAGAUCUGGGCCAUAUGGCCAGAUCUUCUGACCUGAUAACUUCGUUUUCGGUCAAUCGGGUGCUGGAAACAACUGGGCCAAUUUAGCUAUCCUAAAGAUGUAUAAGUCCGUUCCAAAAGAAUGGCUUGUAUGUAUCCAUGAAUUAUUAAUGCAAAUUUUACAGAUUGCAAGUUGGAUACAUUGAUAAUACACUGCACAGAUUAAUGUACCAUAAGAACAGAAUAUGGGUAUAGCAGUGAUCAAUAUGAUGCACGCCUGUUGCGUAGCAAAUGAUAUGGAUUGAAGUCCUGAAAGGACAAUCCUUUGACAUGUCAAUAUUGAUAUUAUGCACGCCUAAUACGUAGCAAAUAUUAUAUACAUAAUAUAUAUUGCUAGAGGUUUCUGCAACUUUUAGCUUUAUUGCCACUUUUAGCUUUCCACCAACAUGAUAAGAACCCACCGGAACAAAUAUAUUCAUAUAUACAUAUACAUACAUAUGUAAUAUUAAUAUUGAAAUGUGGUAAUAUAAUAUGCUAUAUCUAUUCACUUUUCUAUUACUAACCACUAACAAAAAUGGACCCUUUGGUAAUACUAAANNNNNNNNNNNNNNNNNNNNNNNNNNNNNNNNNNNNNNNNNNNNNNNNNNNNNNNNNNNNNNNNNNNNNNNNNNNNNNNNNNNNNNNNNNNNNNNNNNNNCCGUUACUAAUACUAACAUUUUUCUUAUUUUAUUCGGUGGUGGUUUUAACCCCAUAUUUAUUUUAUUUACUGUAUGGUGUAGGUUUAUUACCCAUACAACAGUAUUUAUUUAAAAGGGUGGUGCGGGUUUAUCGUCCACGCCUUUGCUUUUAUUUAAAUAUAUGGAGCAGAAUUAGUGCCCAUACAAGCACGUUUACUUUAUCGCAAAUUUACUUUUACUUAAAGUAUUAUUUAUGGUAUGGUGUAGGUUUAUUACCCAUACGGCAAUAUUUAUUUAAAGGGUGGUGCGGGUUUAUCGUCCACGCCUUUGCUUUUAUUUAAAUGUAUGGAGCAGAAUUAGUGCCCACACAAGCACGUUUACUUUACCGCACAUUUAAUUUUAUUUAAGGUAUGGUGCGGGAUUAACGUCCAUACAGCAAGCUAUUUAAUUUAUUUAAGGUAUGGUGCGGGAUUAACGUCCAUACAGCAAGCAAUUUAAUUUAUGAAUUUAUUUUACCGCACAUUUACAUUUAUUUAAAGUAUGGUGCGGGUUUAUCGUCCAUACCAGUAAUUUAUUUAUCAGCAAUUUAUUUUAUGGAUUAAUUGUGCUGUAUGAUGAGUUUUUACAGUAUGCAGAUCAGGACCAGAAGUUCCUUGAUCCUCAUCAUACAAUUACAUCAGGACUUGAAGAUCCUUGAUGAUGAUAUUAAUAUGAGAGCUGGCAGUCUCUCCGGUACUGUAUUUGUAAACAUGUGAUCGGAAUUAAGGGUCCUUGAUCCCUGACAUGUAAAUAAGGACCUAGAGUUCCUUAAUGAUGUAACAGUACCGUAUUGGUUCAUAGUGCCGUACACAUUGAUGAUAACUGUACUGGCAGAUGAAUAGAUACGUAUUCAUGACUUGAUGAAUAGUACUAUUCACAUUAAUAGUGACGUAUGCAUAAAUAUGAACCAUUUUGGGUAAACCGUCACUAUAUACAAAAGGGAACCUGCAGUUUCAUAGUGCCGUACACAUUGAUGAUAACUGUACUGGCAGAUGAAUAGAUACGUAUUCAUGACUUGAUGAACAGUACUAUUCACAUGAAUAGUGACGUAUGCAUAAAUAUGAACCAUUUUGGGUAAACCGUCACUAUAUACAAAAGGGAACCUGCAGUUCCUUAAACUCAUGGAUGAGCAAUUACAUGAGAUGCCAGAAGUUCCUCAAAAUAUGGACAAUUAUGUAAGGGCUUGAAGUCCCGAAAUAUGUACAGAAAAUUAUAAAAAUGUCCAUACCAUGAGAAUAUGUGGCUUUGGCCUGAAGUUCAAAAUUUAACAGUGUUGAGAACCUGAAGUUCCAACAAUUAAAUGGACAACCCUUGAGGUAUUAUUGCAAAUUGUGGUAUGCCACAUAUUUCUUUGACAUAAGAAGAUGAUGAAUUUAAAGUUCGAUUUUGUUAUAAUCGACACCUCAAGGAAGAAAUAUAUUUUGUGAAUUCCGGUUGUUAAGAAUACACCGUGAAAUGGAUAAUAUCAACAUAAACCUCAAAUAAUGAAUUGAGGCUCCCCACAUAUUUUGUUAUAUCUGGGCCGGAAGCCCAUGGAUCCAAAUAUAUGAGAGAUCUUGAACUUGAAGUUGUGGGUAUAUAGUAGUUAAUGCUCUUCACUACUAUAUUGCGAUAUUAUCAUGGCUUUUACUCAAUUCACAUUUCAUGUCCAUUUGAAAAGGGCAAAUAAAUUCUGAGUUUGUGCCCAGGCCAAAAGUUCCGGGCUACCAUGCAAUUUGGGAGAGACAAUGUGGUUAUUUGAACCUAUAAGGCACAAGGUUCCAAACUGUCAUUUUGAAAAGACGUAAAAACCACAGGUGCAAGUUUAAGAAUGUGCGCAAUUAUUAUUACAGGAACAUACAACAGAUAGAUUUUUUCCACCUGCAAUGAAGGUGCAGGCCCUGUAAAAUCUAUAAAAAUUACAUUAUGUUCUGGAAGCCUCUGAAGGAAGUUGAGUUGAAACGCAGUUGCUCCAAUCAAGUUUUGCAAAGGCAAUAGCUAUAGACGAAAAUGUGGCAACAUUUCCAGGAUCCCAAUAUCUUCUCGAAUCCCCAUAUUAUCUUUUUCUUUCCCAGAGUCCAAAACUUCACGUGGCCUCUAAUAAUGCCUGUCGGCACUUUCGGCGUUUUCAAGUAUUAUUUUCGUCAAAGCUGAUCUUGCUUUACGGAUUUCACGGAGCUACUUUUUCAAAAGUAUCCCGAGAAUCUCGCAAUUUUCCUACGGUUAAUUUGAAAUUCACAGGUUCUACCUAUUCAUUGUAUUUGUAUAUAAAUGUGUUACUAACGAAAUUUUCUUUGCAGAAGAUAUCCAGUUUACUCCAUACCUAGUGAUGCGAUAUCUACUUGUUUUUCUUAUCAGUGAGCACUUAAUAUGCCCGAGAAGCAAGACUAUCUCUGAUCAUCCAUUCAGGAAGCGAGACUAUCCCUGAUCACGUUUUCGCCACAUUAGGGAACUGUGAAGGUGACCUUAUGCUCCAAUCUCCUGAGGUCCUUCUAGACUAGGAGAAAUGAGAGCUUGUUGUUUGCUCCCACCAGCUUCCUUCCUUGAUUGCUUACCUUAUCUUGCAAUCAAUAUCACAAUUUUUGUAUUUUUUCUUUCUUUUAUAACCCUCUGUUCAUAAGGGAUUUUAUUUCUUUAGAAUGAACAUAUGAAGAAUGAAUCCAUGAAGUAAUCCUAACUAUGAGGGUUAUUUGUUUUGACAGAGGCAAAAGAGUUGUGAUUUUUGCUCUUGCAGGAUAUAACAAGAUCAUCAAGCGAUACUUUAUAUUUACUGGGCCGAUACGAGCUUGAAUGAUACUUGAGAAAAGUUUCUCCCACCUAAGGAUGUAAGCAAUACUUGUGUUAUUUUAUGCUUAUAUACCUAUUUGAUAUUUUAUCUUGAAAGGUAACCAAAUUGGGAGAUAAGUCCGUUCCAAAAGAAUGGCUUGUAUGUAUCCAUGAAUUAUUAACGCAAAUUUUACAGAUUGCAAGUUGGAUACAUUGAUAAUACACUGCACAGAUUAAAGUCCCAUAAGAACAGAAUAUGGGUAUAGCAGUGAUCAAUAUGAUGCACGCCUGUUGCGUAGCAAAUGAUGUGGAUUGAAGUCCCGAAAGGACAAUCCAUUGACAUGUCAAUAUUGAUAUUAUGCACACCUAAUGCGUAGCAAAUUAUAUGGGUUAAAGUCCCAUAAUAUGGGUUAAAGUCCCAUAAAUUAAUUGACAUGUAUGUAUUAAUCUGUGGCAUGCCUGCAGCAUGAGAGAUAUAUGGGUUCUAAAUGUUCCAACUCCCUAAAUGGAGAUUAUCCACACCCUACUGCUAAAUAACGCUCCAUUGGAGGUUAUAAUCCACAUUCUCACAUAAUAAAAGCCCCAUGAAGUGGCUUGGGUACCCAAAAGCAAAGAAAUGCUUAUAAUUGAUGCAUGCGCAUGCACAUGAGAAUUGUGAGAUUAUGAAUUGAUGAAUGACAAUUUUUGGUUUUGGAGUAGCUACUCAAAUCAUCAAUGGGCUGUGUUGAUUGGAACCACGUUCAAUUAUUAAAUGUCGACAAUAUUAUUGGCCAAAAUGGAACGAGGUAAUUCCAUUAUAAAUGAGAAUGAACGUGAAAGAACAAACCCACAAUACGAACCCCAAAAAUUUGUUUAUACUGAAUUUAUACUUUGGGUGUUCGGAUAAAAGGGAAUAUACCUACUUUGUAUGACCCACUGUUUCUAGCAGAACAAGAUGUUGGGUUUUCUCAUAUCCACAGAUCCAUGUGCCCCCCCCCCCCCUNNNNNNNNNNNNNNNNNNNNNNNNNNNNNNNNNNNNNNNNNNNNNNNNNNNNNNNNNNNNNNNNNNNNNNNNNNNNNNNNNNNNNNNNNNNNNNNNNNNNNNNNNNNNNNNNNNNNNNNNNNNNNNNNNNNNNNNNNNNNNNNNNNNNNNNNNNNNNNNNNNNNNNNNNNNNNNNNNNNNNNNNNNNNNNNNNNNNNNNNNNNNNNNNNNNNNNNNNNNNNNNNNNNNNNNNNNNNNNNNNNNNNNNNNNNNNNNNNNNNNNNNNNNNNNNNNNNNNNNNNNNNNNNNNNNNNNNNNNNNNNNNNNNNNNNNNNNNNNNNNNNNNNNNNNNNNNNNNNNNNNNNNNNNNNNNNNNNNNNNNNNNNNNNNNNNNNNNNNNNNNNNNNNNNNNNNNNNNNNNNNNNNNNNNNNNNNNNNNNNNNNNNNNNNNNNNNNNNNNNNNNNNNNNNNNNNNNNNNNNNNNNNNNNNNNNNNNNNNNNNNNNNNNNNNNNNNNNNNNNNNNNNNNNNNNNNNNNNNNNNNNNNNNNNNNNNNNNNNNNNNNNNNNNNNNNNNNNNNNNNNNNNNNNNNNNNNNNNNNNNNNNNNNNNNNNNNNNNNNNNNNNNNNNNNNNNNNNNNNNNNNNNNNNNNNNNNNNNNNNNNNNNNNNNNNNNNNNNNNNNNNNNNNNNNNNNNNNNNNNNNNNNNNNNNNNNNNNNNNNNNNNNNNNNNNNNNNNNNNNNNNNNNNNNNNNNNNNNNNNNNNNNNNNNNNNNNNNNNNNNNNNNNNNNNNNNNNNNNNNNNNNNNNNNNNNNNNNNNNNNNNNNNNNNNNNNNNNNNNNNNNNNNNNNNNNNNNNNNNNNNNNNNNNNNNNNNNNNNNNNNNNNNNNNNNNNNNNNNNNNNNNNNNNNNNNNNNNNNNNNNNNNNNNNNNNNNNNNNNNNNNNNNNNNNNNNNNNNNNNNNNNNNNNNNNNNNNNNNNNNNNNNNNNNNNNNNNNNNNNNNNNNNNNNNNNNNNNNNNNNNNNNNNNNNNNNNNNNNNNNNNNNNNNNNNNNNNNNNNNNNNNNNNNNNNNNNNNNNNNNNNNNNNNNNNNNNNNNNNNNNNNNNNNNNNNNNNNNNNNNNNNNNNNNNNNNNNNNNNNNNNNNNNNNNNNNNNNNNNNNNNNNNNNNNNNNNNNNNNNNNNNNNNNNNNNNNNNNNNNNNNNNNNNNNNNNNNNNNNNNNNNNNNNNNNNNNNNNNNNNNNNNNNNNNNNNNNNNNNNNNNNNNNNNNNNNNNNNNNNNNNNNNNNNNNNNNNNNNNNNNNNNNNNNNNNNNNNNNNNNNNNNNNNNNNNNNNNNNNNNNNNNNNNNNNNNNNNNNNNNNNNNNNNNNNNNNNNNNNNNNNNNNNNNNNNNNNNNNNNNNNNNNNNNNNNNNNNNNNNNNNNNNNNNNNNNNNNNNNNNNNNNNNNNNNNNNNNNNNNNNNNNNNNNNNNNNNNNNNNNNNNNNNNNNNNNNNNNNNNNNNNNNNNNNNNNNNNNNNNNNNNNNNNNNNNNNNNNNNNNNNNNNNNNNNNNNNNNNNNNNNNNNNNNNNNNNNNNNNNNNNNNNNNNNNNNNNNNNNNNNNNNNNNNNNNNNNNNNNNNNNNNNNNNNNNNNNNNNNNNNNNNNNNNNNNNNNNNNNNNNNNNNNNNNNNNNNNNNNNNNNNNNNNNNNNNNNNNNNNNNNNNNNNNNNNNNNNNNNNNNNNNNNNNNNNNNNNNNNNNNNNNNNNNNNNNNNNNNNNNNNNNNNNNNNNNNNNNNNNNNNNNNNNNNNNNNNNNNNNNNNNNNNNNNNNNNNNNNNNNNNNNNNNNNNNNNNNNNNNNNNNNNNNNNNNNNNNNNNNNNNNNNNNNNNNNNNNNNNNNNNNNNNNNNNNNNNNNNNNNNNNNNNNNNNNNNNNNNNNNNNNNNNNNNNNNNNNNNNNNNNNNNNNNNNNNNNNNNNNNNNNNNNNNNNNNNNNNNNNNNNNNNNNNNNNNNNNNNNNNNNNNNNNNNNNNNNNNNNNNNNNNNNNNNNNNNNNNNNNNNNNNNNNNNNNNNNNNNNNNNNNNNNNNNNNNNNNNNNNNNNNNNNNNNNNNNNNNNNNNNNNNNNNNNNNNNNNNNNNNNNNNNNNNNNNNNNNNNNNNNNNNNNNNNNNNNNNNNNNNNNNNNNNNNNNNNNNNNNNNNNNNNNNNNNNNNNNNNNNNNNNNNNNNNNNNNNNNNNNNNNNNNNNNNNNNNNNNNNNNNNNNNNNNNNNNNNNNNNNNNNNNNNNNNNNNNNNNUUUUUACACAAUUUACGGAGACCCAACAUUUUAUCUUUAAGGGUCAUUAAAUGCACGGAGCAUAUCGCCAGAAAGCGAUUCCCCUAAAGAUGUAUAAAUAGCUGGGUUAAAGCUAUAUAAUGUGUCAUAAAGUUUAAUCCUUUUAGACAAAAUCCGUUGAGAGGAUUGACAUUGCAUAAAGCAAGUCCCUAAAAGACAUGUGCUUGAAGCACAAAAUUUGUACUCAAUAUUAAUAUGCAUAAAUUACCUCAGUGAGUACAUUGAUUAUAAUGUGAUUGCAACACAUUAAAGCUUCUGCAGAAUUCAUGAAAUAUUUGUCUCGAUCGAGCAUUAUACCAACGAGAUUGUUGCUUAUACUAAGAGAGUCUUAUCCGUUGGUCCAUAAAUGUUUUUCCAGAAGUAUAUUGGACCGGACAUCAUAUUUUCCAGAUGAGGCUCAACUCCAUCAGCAUCAUUUUGGGAUGGUGUGAGGUAUAUUUGAUGCUAUCUCCGCAUAACACCAUGUAUGGGCAUAUUCUUUCAUAUGAUCUUACAAAUAGCCCAGGUUUUGUUGGAAACGCGGACUCUGAAAAUUUCUAUGAUUUACAUAGAGAUAGCUCACUGGAAAUUUAUUUACUAUAUGAAUUGUUGGUGGCUACAUCAUUCACUCACUCCGAAAGAUUCUCACUCCAAAAGAUAGUUAUGAAGACAUCAGGGGGAGAUAUUAAUCAGGGGGAGCAUCCAGAAGUAUGCUAUACAGAUUGUUGUACUCUUCUUUCUUCCUUCCAUCAGUUCUCUACCUUACUAGGUUUUCUCCAAGCAAAGUCUGAUGAAGCAACUGACAUAUUAUUUGUGGUCUCCAAGGGGGAGUGUUGUAAAGUAUAAAGUAGUAGAGCCCACUUACUAUUUGUUUGUAGACUUUGGUGCAUGAUUGUAUUGUAGAUUCACAGGUGGAUUGUAGAUUCACGGGUGUUAUCCACCCUUUCCCUAUAAAAGGCUUCUCUCUUAUGCAAAGAGAGACAAUGAUCGAUGAGGAAGAGAAUAGAGGGAAACGGAAAGAAACAAAGAAGAGGAAAGAAAGAAGGGAAAAGAAAGAAGAGAAGAGAAAGGGAGAAACGGAAAAAGAAGAGGAAAGAAACAAAGAAGAGGAAAGAAAAAAAAGAAGAGGAAAGUGUAACACCCCGACCCCAAUUUAACCCUUAUUUAAUUAUUUAAUUAUUUAAGGGUAUUUUAGUCAUAUUUUAACCGGAGAGAGUUUGGGACCGCAACUUAUAUUUUUGGAUAGGUCGUACUGAGACGAGUUCAUAGACACGUAGUGGGCUCGAAUCGGAGUUGUAACUAGAGAGAUAUGGUCAAAAGAAGCCCAGUGGCAUAAUCGUAAAUAUUUCGAAAUGGGAUUUUUUAUAAAAUCAGAUUUUUCUCUCUCUCGCUCUCCCGCGACUUCUCUCUCUCUCCCGUCGGCCUCUCCUCUCUCUCUCUCUUCGUAACUCCGGCCACCGGCCGCGGCUGCGGACGGGGCCGGUGUCAAAAGAACCGGCUCGACCUCGGCGUCACGUCCCAGCCCAUCCCCGCCAUCGGCCGCCGCUCCAGCCGCCGGAAAAUGGCGAUUUUCGCUCAGAUGUCGCCGGAUCUUCACGGCCGCCGAUCUCCCUCCUCCGGCCUCCAUUUCUGGCGAUCAAGGUAUGGAAAUUCAUCCCUUCUGCAUGCUCUAGCUGAUGGUUGGGUAGGAUUAGAUCGAUUCUUAGCGUAGACAACUCGAUUUUCGAAUUGAAAAUCGGCCGAAACUUCGGCCGCCAUUAUCGGCCAUUUCCGGCCACUUUUUGGGAAAGGUCCAAGAACAAAAGUGGCUCCAAAUAGGGUGUUAUACCUAGGGUAGGAGUUUGGAGCCGAGAUGUUGAGAUUUUCCGGCGAAGCGUUAUCGCUUUGGGCACCCACGCGCUGCCGGCGCGUGCGGCGGCGCGUGGGCGCUGUAGAAAAAGUAGCGAUGUGUUCCGAUGAGAUCCUUAGGUUGUCACGAGUGCGUAGGAUUUCGCGGAUCUCAAUUCGGACGUCGUUUGACUAUCGAACGGAUAAUCGCAUAGUAUGCGUUAUCCUGGUUCGAUAGGUUGGGACCGUCGGAUGGUCCCAAAUUUAAUAUAUGUUAAUCUAGGUAUUUCUAGGAUCGUGUAGGAAUUCACGGAUCGUGAAUCGGAGCCCCGGAUGUUCCGAAUAAUAAUUUAAAGUUUAUAUUUUAUAUUAACCGUCAGAUCAUGCGAUCGUGAGAAAUCCGACCGUCUGAUCUGAACCAAACUCGCAGGACAAGUGUCAUAUACCUGGUAGAACCCAUAGAGACUCUCGGAUCGGAAAUUGGAGGUUGUGGGUUCUGCAAGUCUGUUUGACCAGGGUUAGAGUAGUUUGACCCUUGGUUGACCGUGAAUCUCCCGGAGUAAUCUCACCCUUCCGGGGGGGAUUAUCGGGAGCUAGACUAUUGUGGAGGGUUACACAAAUAUAAGAAUUAAUUUAUAUAAAUAUAAUUAUAUAUGGUUGUACAAGGGUACAACAGAGUCUAGAGUGUCAGUUUGGAGUGCUAUACGCACUACUUUAGGUACCUCCUCGGACUUUGGAUUCAUUACAAGCACCACCAAGUGAAAGUUAGGUCCCACGUGGCGUAGGUUAUCCGGCGUUGGGACCGGCCCCAUACGUGGCGUUGGUUGUACCGGCGUAUGGGGAGAUUUGUGAUAUUAUGUUCAGGUCUCACGUGGCGUAGGUUAUCCGGCGUUGAGACAGGCCCCGUACGUGGCGUUGGUUGUACCGGCGUACGGGGAGAUUAUGUGAUAUUGUGUUGAGGUCGCACGUGGCGUAGGUUAUCCGGCGUGUUGACAGGCCCCAUACGUGGCGUUGGUUGUACCUGCGUAUGCGGAGAUUUGUGAUAUUAUGUUCAGGUCUCACGUGGCGUAGGUUAUCCGGCGUUGAGAUAGGCCCCGUACGUGGCGUUGGUUGUACCGGCGUACGGGGAGAUUAUGUGAUAUUGUGUUGAGGUCGCACGUGGAGUAGGUUAUCCGGCGUGUCGACAGACCCCAUACGUGGCGUUGGUUGGACCGGCGUAUGGGGAGAUUGGUGAUAUGAUAUUGAGGUUCCCGCGUGGCGUAGGUUAUCCGGCGUUGGGACAGGCCCCAUACGUGGCGUUGGUUGUACCGGCGUAUGGGGAGAUAUUAUGAUAGUAUGGCAUGGUCGAAACGUGGCGUAGGUUAUCCGGCGUGUUGACAGGCCCCAUACGUGGCGUUGGUUGUACCGGCGUAUGGGGAGAAUAUGUGAAAUACAGAGAAAUGAUAUAAGGUAUCGCCCAAGUGUGGAAUUGGGUUUUAGGGAAGAACUACGUGUGGCUUGAUCCCUCAAAGAGGGUACGUAGGCAGCCUGAGGUUAUUAGGUGCAGCCGCAGACUAAAUGUUAGUCAUAUUUGGUAUUUGAAUGGUUUGGUAGUUGGAUAGGAAUUAUUGAAAGGCCGAAGGCCAUUUGUGUGAAUUGCAUGAAAUUAUAUUGUGCAUGCUGCCAGUUGGGAAUAUUAAAUGCGUUUUUAUGCAGGUAUAAAUUUUGGGAAAUGUCCAAAUUAUAGGGGAGACUCUGCCGAAAUUUCGGCAGGAAGUCUCGGUUUUUAGUAAGUGGGCCUGGCAUCGGGGUGAUGUCAGGAAUUCCAAAGGGUUCGUCUCGGAUUUUGAGAAAAUUCGGGGCGGGUCCUUAAAGAAAGAGAGAAGAGAGAAGAGGAAAGAGAAGAGGAAAAAGAAAAGAGGAAAGAGAAAAGAAAGAGAGUCAGGCAGAGAAGAGGAAGAGAAGGAAGAAAGAGGGUGAGUGAGCAGAGAAAAAAUUCAGUGAGCCACACAUAUUGUAAACACUAAAGUUGUAGCCCUAUUAUUUUACAUAGUGGAAAAGUUACUACUGCUGCUCUCCGGGGACGUAGGCAUAGCCGAACCUCGUUAAAUACUGUGUCUCAUCUACUUUACGUGCAGCUCAAUAUUCGCACANNNNNNNNNNNNNNNNNNNNNNNNNNNNNNNNNNNNNNNNNNNNNNNNNNNNNNNNNNNNNNNNNNNNNNNNNNNNNNNNNNNNNNNNNNNNNNNNNNNNCCUGCACGUAAAGUAGAUGAGACACAGCAUUUAACGAGGUUCGGCUAUGCCUACGUCCUCGGAGAGCAGCAGUAGUAACUUUUCCACUAUGUAAAAUAAUAGGGCUACAACUUUAGUGUUUACAAUAUGUGUGGCUCACUGAAUUUUCUCUCUGCUCUCUCUCUCUUCACUCAUUCACCCUCUUUCUUCCUUCUCUUCCUCUUGUCUCUUUCCCCUUCACUUUUUCCUCUUCUUUGUUUCUUUCCGUUUCCCUUUCUCUUCUUUUCUCUCUUCCCUUAUUUCUUUCCUCUUUUCUCUUCUCUCUUUCCUCCCUUCUUUCUUUCCUCUUCUUUGUUUCUUUCCUCUUCUUUUUCCGUUUCUCCCUUUCUCUUCUUUUCUUCUCAUUUCUUUCACUUUGCAGGUUGCCUAUUUAUAGGCAGAUUGGUGCAACUCUCGUGAGUGUGCAGUAAGAAAAAGUUGCCGACAAACUCUACCCAAAGUCUCCAAAUGAAUAGUUAGUGGGCUCCACACAAAAACUUUACAACACUCCCCCUUGGAGACCACAAAUAAUAUGUCAGUUGCUUCAUCAGACUUUGCUUGGAGAAAACCUAGUGAGGUAGAAAACUGAUGGAAGGAAGAGUACAACAAUCUGUAUAGCAUACUUCUGGAUGCUCCCCCUGAUUAAUAUCUCCCCCUGAUGUCUUCAUGACUAUCUUUUGGAGUGAGAAUCUUUCGGAGUGAGUGAAUGAUGUAGCCACCAACAAUUCAUAUAGUAAAUAUAUUUCCAGUGAGCUAUCUCUAUGUAAAUCAUAGAAAUUUUCAGAGUCCGCGUUUCUAACAAAACUUGGGCUAUUUAUAAGUUCACUUGAAAGAAUAUGCCCGUACAAGGUGUUAUGCGGAGAUAGCAUCAAAUAUACCUCACAUCAUUCCAAAAUGAUGGUGAUGGAGUUGAGCCCUAUCUGGAAAAUAUGAUGUCCGGUCGAAUAUACUUCCGGAAAAUCAUUAAAGUGUCCAACGGAUAAUCCUCAUAAAAAUUCUUCAAUACUUUCUUAGUAUAAUCAAGAAUCUCGUUGGUAUAAUGCUCGAUCGAGACAAAUAUUUCUUGAAUUCUGCAGAAGCUAUAAUGUGUUGCAAUCACAUUAUAAUCAAUGUACUCACUGAGGUAAUUUAUGCAUAUUAAUAUUGAGUACAAAUUUUGUGCUUCAAGCACAUGUCCUUUAGGGACUUGCUUUAUGCAAUGUCAAUCCUCUCAACGGAUUUUGUUUUAAAAGGGGAUUAAACUUUAUGACACAUUAUAUAGCUUUUACCCAGCUAUUUAUAUAUCUUUAGGAAAUCGCUUCUGGCGAUAUGCUCCUUGCAUUUAAUAACCAUUAAAGAUAAUAUGUUGGUCUCCGUAAUUGUGUAAUAAGGGGGGGCACAAUUGAAUCUGUAAAUAUGGAGAAAACCCAACAUUCCUUGUUUCUGCCAGAAACAUUGUGUCAUACAAAGUAGGUAUAUUCCCUUUUAUUCCGAACACCCAAGUAUAAAUUUCAGUAUUAACAAAUUUUGGGGUUCGUAUUGUGGGUUUGUUCUUUCACGUUCAUUCUCAUUUAUAAUGGAAUUACCUCGUUCCAUUUUCGCCAAUGAUAUUGUCGACAUUUAAUAAUUGAACGUGGUUCCAAUCAACACAGCCCAUUGAUGAUUUGAGUAGCUACUCCAAAACUAAAAAUCGUCUUUCAUCAAUUCAUAAUCUCACAAUUCUCAUGUGCAUGCGCAUGCAUCAAUUAUAAGCAUUUCUUUUGCUUUUGGGUACCUAAGCCACUUCAUUGGGCUUUUAUUAUGUGAGAAUGUGGAUUAUAACCUCCAUUGGAGCGUUAUUUAGCAGUAGGGCGUGGAUAAUCUCCAUUUAGGGAGUUGGAACAUUUAGAACCCAUAUAUCUGUCAUGCUGCAGGCAUGCCACAGAUUAAUACAUACAUGUCAAUUAAUUUAUGGGACUUUAACCCAUAUUAUGGGACUUUAACCUAUAUAAUUUGCUACGCAUUAGGCGUGCAUAAUAUGAAUAUUGACAUGUCAAAGGAUUGUCCUUUCGGGACUUCAAUCCACAUCAUUUGCUACGCAACAGGCGUGCACCCAUAUAUCUGUCAUUAUGGUACAUUAAUCUGUGCAGUGUAUUAUCAAUGUAUCCAACUUGCAAUCUGUAAAAUUUGCAUUAAUAAUUCAUGGAUACAUACAAGCCAUUCUUUUGGAACGGACUUAUCUUCCCAUUUGGUUACCUUUCAAGAUAAAAUAUCAAAUAGGUAUAUAAGCAUAAAAUAACAUAAGUAUUGCUUACAUCCUUAGGUGGGAGAAACUUUUCUCAAGUAUCAUUCAAGCUCAUAUCGGCCCAGUAAAUAUAAUGUAGCGCUUGAUGAUUUAGUUAUAUCCUGCAAGAGCAAAAAUCACAACUCUUUUGCCUCUGUCAAAACAAAUAACCCUCAUAGUUAGGAUUACUUCAUGGAUUCAUUCUUCAGAUGUUCAUUCUAAAGAAAUAAAAUCUCUUAUGAACAGAGAGUUAUAAAAAGAGAAAAAAUGCAAAAAGAUUGUGAUAUUGAUUGCAAGGUAAGGUAAGCAAUCAAGGAAGGAAGCUGGUGGGAGCAAACAACAAGCUCUCAGUUCUCCUAGUCUAGAAGGACCUCAGGAGAUUAGAGCAUAAGGUCGCCUUCACAGUUCCCGGAUGUGGCGGAAACGUGAUCAGGGAUAGUCUCGCUUCCUGAAUGGAUGAUCAGAGAUAGUCUUGCUUCUCGGGCAUAUUGAAUGCUCACUGAUAAGGAAAAUAAGUAGAUAUUGCAUCACUAGGUAUGGAGAAAACUGGAUGUCUUCUGCAAAGAAAAUUUCGUUAGUAACACAUUUAUACACAAAUACAAUGAAUAGGUAGAACCGGUGAAUUUCAAAUUAACCAUAGGAAAAUUGAGAGAUUCUCGGGAUACUUUUGAAAAAGUAGCUCCGUGAAAUCCGCAAAGCAAGAUCGGCUUUUGACAAAAAUAAUACUUGAAAACGCCGAAAGUGCCGACAUGCAUUAUCAGAGGCCACGUGAAGUUUUGGACUCUGGGAAAGAAAAAGAUAAUAUGGGGAUCUGAGAUAAUAUUGGGAUCCUGGAAACUGUAGCCAUAUUUCCUCCUAUAGAUAUGGCCUUUGCAAAACUUGAUUGGAGCAACUGCGUUUCAACUCAACUUCCUUCAGAGGCUUCCAGAACAUAAUGUAAUUUUUAUAGAUUUUACAGGGCCUGCACCUUCAUUGCAGGUGGAAAAAAUCUAUCUGUUGUAUGUUCCUGUAAUAAUAAUUGCGCACAUUCUUAAACUUGCACCUGUGGUUUUUACGUCUUUUCAAAAUGACGGUUUGGAACCUUGUGCCUUAUAGGUUCAAAUAACCACAUCGUAACGCGAUAUCUGGCCUUACAUAAAAGUACUNNNNNNNNNNNNNNNNNNNNNNNNNNNNNNNNNNNNNNNNNNNNNNNNNNNNNNNNNNNNNNNNNNNNNNNNNNNNNNNNNNNNNNNNNNNNNNNNNNNNNNNNNNNNNNNNNNNNNNNNNNNNNNNNNNNNNNNNNNNNNNNNNNNNNNNNNNNNNNNNNNNNNNNNNNNNNNNNNNNNNNNNNNNNNNNNNNNNNNGCCUCAAUUCAUUAUUUGAGGUUUAUAUGAUAUUAUCCAUUUCGCGGUGUAUUCUUAACAACCGGAAUUCACAAAAUAUAUUUCCUCCUUGAGGUGUCGAUUAUAACAAAAUCGAACUUUAAAUUCAUCAUCUUCUUAUGCCAAAGAAAUAUGUGGCAUACCACAAUUUGCAAUAAUACCUCAAGGGUUGUCCAUUUAAUUGUUGGAACUUUAGGUUCUCAACACUGUUAAAUUUUGAACUUCAGGCCAAAGCCACAUAUUCUCAUGGUAUGGACAUUUUUACAAUUUUCUGUACAUAUUUCGGGACUUCAAGCCCUUACAGAAUUGUCCAUAUUGUGAGGAACUUCUGGCAUCUCAUUUAAUUGCUCAUCCAUGAGUUUAAGGAACUGCAGGUUCCCUUUUGUAUAUAGUGACGGUUGACCCAAAAUGGUUCAUAUUUAUGCAUACGUCACUAUUCAUGUGAAUAGUACUAUUUAUCAAGUCAUGAAUACGUAUCUAUUCAUCUGCCAGUACAGUUAUCAUCAAUGUGUACGGCACCAUGAAACUGCAGGUUCCCUUUUGUAUAUAGUGACGGUUUACCCAAAAUGGUUCAUAUUUAUGCAUACGUCACUAUUCAUGUAAAUAGUACUAUUCAUCAAGUCAUGAAUACGUAUCUAUUCAUCUGCCAGUACAGUUAUCAUCAAUGUGUACGGCACUAUGAACCAAUACGGUACUGUUACAUCAUUAAGGAACUUUAGGUCCUUAUUUACAUUUCAGGGAUCAAGGACCCUUAAUUCCGAUCACAUAUUUACAAAUACAGUACCGGAGAGACUGCCAGCUCUCAUAUUAAUAUCAUCAUCAAGGAUCUUCAAGUCCUGAUGUAAUUGUAUGAUGAGGAUCAAGGAACUUCUGGUCCUGAUCUGCUUACUGUAAAAACUCAUCAUACAGCACAAUUAAUCCAUAAAAUAAAUUGCUGAUAAAUAAAUUACUGGUAUGGACGAUAAACCCGCACCAUACUUUAAAUAAAUGUAAAUGUGCGGUAAAAUAAAUUCAUAAAUUAAAUUGCUUGCUGUAUGGACGUUAAUCCCGCACCAUACCUUAAAUAAAUUAAAUAGCUUGCUGUAUGGACGUAAAUCCCGCACCAUACCUUAAAUAAAAUUAAAUGUGCGGUAAAGUAAACGUGCUUGUAUGGGCACUAAUUCUGCUCCAUACAUUUAAAUAAAAGCAAAGGCGUAGACGAUAAACCCGCACCACCCUUUAAAUAAAUAUUGCCGCAUGGGUAAUAAACCUACACCAUACCAUAAAUAAUACUUUAAGUAAAAGUAAAUUUGCGAUAAAGUAAACGUGCUUGUAUGGGCACUAAUUCUGCUCCAUACAUUUAAAUAAAAGCAAAGGCGUGGACGAUAAACCCGCACCACUCUUUUAAAUAAAUACUGUUGUAUGGGUAAUAAACCUACACCAUACAGUAAAUAAAAUAAAUAUGGGGUUAAAACCACCACCGAAUAAAAUAAGAAAAAUGUUAGUAUUAGUAACGGUCUCCCACUGAUAAUAUGUUUAGUAUUACCAAGGGUCCAUUUUUAUUAGUGGUUAGUAAUAGAAAAGUGAAUAGAUAUAGCAUAUUAUAUUACCACAUUUCAAUAUUAAUAUUACAUAUGUAUGUAUAUGUAUAUAUGAAUAUAUUUGUUUCGGUGGGUUCUUAUCAUGUUGGUGGAAAGCUAAAAGUGGCAAUAAAGCUAAAAGUUGCAGAAACCUCUAGCAAUAUAUAUUUUGUAUAUAAUAUAAUAUUAUUAUACUAAUAUAUUAGUGGAAAGCUCUAUAUAUCAGGUUGGCCUUUGCUUGUCCAUCUCAACCACAAAACACACGGCACAGAUCUAAUCACACCUACACCCACCUCGGCUGGUCAUAAUUGUUAGAUAUUAGAUUAAUAUUAAAUAAUUGAGAUAGAGAAAACAGAGUGCUUAUCUCAUGGUCAUCAAGGCAUAUCCCACAUAGAGAGCGUCUCGUGCUGAUAACGUGUUAUAAAAUGACCUGGAAUAUGUACGAAUAUUGAGCUGCACGUAAAGUAGAUGAGACACAGCAUUUAACGAGAUUCGGCUAUGCCUACGUCUCCGGAGAGCAGCAGUAGUAACUUUUCCACUAUGUAAAAUAAUAGGGCUACAACUUUAGUGUUUACAAUAUGUGUGGCUCACUGAAUUUUCUCUCUAGGAGAAUUUCUCUCUGCUCUCUCUUUCCUCUUUCUUCCUUCUCUUCCUCUUGUCUCUUUCCUUUUCUCUCUUUCCUCUUUUCUCUUUCCCCUUCUUUCUUUCCUCUUCUCUUUCCUCUUCUCUCUUCUCUCUUUCCUCUUCUUUGUUUCUUUCCGUUUCCCUCUAUUCUCUUCCUCAUAGAUCAUUGUCUCUCUUUGCAUAAGAGAGAAGCCUUUUAUAGGGAAAGGGUGGAUAACACCCGUGAAUCUACAAUCCACCUGUGAAUCUACAAUACAAUCAUGCACCAAAGUCUACAAACAAAUAGUAAGUGGGCUCCACUACUUUAUACUUUACAACACUCCCCCUUGGAGACCACAAAUAAUAUGUCAGUUGCUUCAUCAGACUUUGCUUGGAGAAAACCUAGUAAGGUAGAGAACUGAUGGAAGGAAGAAAGAAGAGUACAACAAUCUGUAUAGCAUACUUCUGGAUGCUCCCCCUGAUUAAUAUCUCCCCCUGAUGUCUUCAUAACUAUCUUUUGGAGUGAGAAUCUUUCGGAGUGAGUGAAUGAUGUAGCCACCAACAAUUCAUAUAGUAAAUAUAUUUCCAGUGAGCUAUCUCUAUGUAAAUCAUAGAAAUUUUCAGAGUCCGCGUUUCCAACAAAACCUGGGCUAUUUGUAAGAUCAUAUGAAAGAAUAUGCCCAUACAUGGUGUUAUGCGGAGAUAGCAUCAAAUAUACCUCACAUCAUCCCAAAAUGAUGGUGAUGGAGUUGAGCCUUAUCUGGAAAAUAUGAUGUCCGGUCCAAUAUAAUUCCGGAAAAUCCUUAAAGUGCCCAACGGAUAAUCCUCAUAAAAAUGCUUCAAUACUUUCUCAGUAUAAGCAAGAAUCUCGUUGGCAUAAUGCUCGAUUUUUAAGUCGAGAUAAAUAUUUCGUGAAUUCUGCAGAAGUUUUAAUGUAUUGCAAUCACAUUAUAAUCAAUGUACUCAUUGAGGUAAUUUAUGCAUAUUAAUAUUGAGUACAAAUUUUGUGCUUCAAGCACAUGUCCUUUAGGGACUUGCUUUAUGCAAUGUCAAUCCUCUCAACGGAUUUUGUUUAAAAGGGAUUAAACUUUAUGACACAUUAUAUAGCUUUUACCCAGCUAUUUAUACAUCUUUAGGAAAUCACUUCUGGCGAUAUGCUCCGUGCAUUUAAUAACCCUUAAAGAUAAUAUGUUGGUCUCCGUAAUUGUGUAAUAAGGGGGGCACAAUUGAAUCUGUAAAUAUGGAGAAAACCCAACAUUCCUUGUUUCUGCCAGAAACAUUGUGUCAUACAAAGUAGGUAUAUUCCCUUUUAUUCCGAACACCCAAGUAUAAAUUUCAGUAUUAACAUCUUUUGGGGUUCGUACUGUGGGUUUGUUCUUUCACGUUCAUUCUCAUCUAUAAUGGAAUUACAUCAUUCCAUUUUGGCCAAUAAUAUUGUCGACAUUUAAUAAUUGAACGUGGUUCCAAUCAACACAGCCCAUUGAUGAUUUAAGUAGCUACUCCAGCACCAAAAAUUGUCAUUCAUCAAUUCAUGAUCUCACCAUUCUCAUUUGCAUGCGCAUGCAUCAAUUCUAAGCAUUUCUUUGCUUUUGGGUACCCAAGCCACUUCAUUGGGCUUUUAUUAUGUGAGAAUGUGGAUUAUAACCUCCAAUGGAGCGUUAUUUUACAUAGGGCGUGGAAAAUCUCCAUUUAGGGAGUUGGAACAUUUAGAACCCAUAUAUCUGUCAUGCUGCAGGCAUGCCACAGAUUAAUACAUACAUGUCAAUUAAUUUAUGGGACCUUAACCCAUAUUAUGGGACUUUAACCCAUAUAAUUUGCUACGCAUUAGGCGUGCAUAAUAUCAAUAUUGACAUGUCAAAGUAUUGUCCUUUCGGGACUUCAAUCCACAUCAUUUGCUAGGCAACAGGCGUGCAUCAUAUUGAUCACUGCUAUACCCAUAUUCUGUUCUUAUGGGACUUUAAUCUGCGCAGUGUAUUAUCAAUGUAUCCAACUUGCAAUCUGUAAAAUUUGCGUUAAUAAUUCAUGGAUACAUACAAGCCAUUCUUUUGGAACGGACUUAUCUCCCCAUUUGGUUACCUUUCAAGAUAAAAUAUCAAAUAGGUAUAUAAGCAUAAAAUAACACAAGUAUUGCUUACAUCCUUAGGUGGGAGAAACUUUUCUCAAGUAUCAUUCAAGCUCAUAUCGGCCCAGUAAAUAUAAUGUAGCGCUUGAUGAUCUAGUUAUAUCCUGCAAGAGCAAAAAUCACAACUCUUUUGCCUCUGUCAAAACAAAUAACCUUCAUAGUUAGGAUUACUUCAUGGAUUCAUUCUUCAGAUGUUCAUUCUAAAGAAAUAAAAUCCCUUAUGAACAGAGAGUUAUAAAAAGAGAAAUAAUGCAAAAAUAAUGUGAUAUUGAUUGCAAGAGAAGGUUAGCAAUCAAGGAAGGAAGCUGGUGGGAGCAAACAACAAGCUCUCAGUUCUCCUAGUCUAGAAGGACCUCAGGAGAUUAGAGCAUAAGAUCGCCUUCACAGUUUCCUGAUGUAGCGGAAACGUGAUCAGGGAUAGUCUCGCUUCCUGAAUGGAUGAUCAGAGAUAGUCUUGCUUCUCGGGCAUUUUAAAUGCUCACUGAUAAGAAAAACAAGUAGAUAUCGCAUCACUAGGUAUGGAGAAAACUGGAUGUCUUCUGCAAAGAAAAUUUCGUUAGUAACACAUUUAUACACAAAUAAGAUAAAUAGGUAGAACUGGUGAAUUUCAAAUUAACCAUAGGAAAAUUGCGAGAUUCUCGGGAUGCUUUUGAAAAAGUAGCUCCGUGAAAUCCGUAAAGCAAGAUCAGCUUUGACGAAAAUAAUACUUGAAAACGCCGAAAGUGCCGACAGGCAUUAUUAGAGGCCACGUGAAGUUUUGGACUCUGGGAAAGAAAAAGAUAAUAUGGGGAUUCGAGAAGAUAUUGGGAUCCUGGAAAUGUUGCCACAUUUUCGUCUAUAGCUAUUGCCUUUGCAAAACUUGAUUGGAGCAACUGCGUUUCAACUCAACUUCCUUCAGAGGCUUCCAGAACAUAAUAUAAUUUUUAUAGAUUUUACAGGGCCUGCACCUUCAUUGCAGGUGGAAAAAAUCUAUCUGUUGUAUGUUCCUGUAAUAAUAAUUGCGCACAUUCUUAAACUUGCACCUGUGGUUUUUAUGUCUUUUCAAAAUGACGGUUUGGAACCUUGUGCCUUAUAGGUUCAAAUAACCACAUUGUCUCUCCCAAAUUGCAUGGUAGCCCGGAACUUUUGGCCUGGGCACAAACUCAGAAUUUAUUUGCCCUUUUCAAAUGGACAUGAAAUGUGAAUUGAGUAAAAGCCAUGAUAAUAUCGCAAUAUAGUAGUGAAGAGCAUUAACUACUAUAUACCCACAACUUCAAGUUCAGGAUCUCUCAUAUAUUUGGAUCCAUGGGCUUCCGGCCCAGAUAUAACAAAAUAUGUGGGGAGCCUCAAUUCAUUAUUUGAGGUUUAUAUUGAUAUUAUCCAUUUCGCGGUGUAUUCUUAACAACCGGAAUUCACAAAAUAUAUUUCUUCCUUGAGGUGUCGAUUAUAACAAAAUCGAACUUUAAAUUCAUCAUCUUCUUAUGCCAAAGAAAUAUGUGGCAUACCACAAUUUGCAAUAAUACCUCAAGGCCAAAAGUUCCGGGCUACCAUGAAAUUUGGGAGAGACAAUGUGGUUAUUUGAACCUAUAAGGCACAAGGUUCCAAACCGUCAUUUUGAAAAGACGUAAAAAACCACAGGUGCAAAUUUUAAGAAUGUGCGCAAUUAUUAUAACAGGAAAGGAGCAAGUUGAAACGCAGUUGCUCCAAUCAAGUUUUGCAAAGGCAAUAUCUAUAGGAGGAAAUAUGGCUACAGUUUCCAGGAUCCCAAUAUUAUCUCAGAUCCCCAUAUUAUCUUUUUCUUUUCCAGAGUCCAAAACUUCACGUGGCCUCUGAUAAUGCAUGUCGGCACUUUCAGCGUUUUCAAGUAUUAUUUUUUUCAAAAGCCGAUCUUGCUUUGCGGAUUUCACGGAGCUACUUUUUCAAAAGUAUCCCGAGAAUCUCGCAAUUUUCCUAUGGUUAAUUUGAAAUUCACCGGUUCUACCUAUUCAUUGUAUUUGUGUAUAAAUGUGUUACUAACGAAAUUUUCUUUGCAGAAGACAUCCAGUUCUCUCCAUACCUAGUGAUGCGAUAUCUACUUGUUUUUCUUAUCAGUGAGCACUUAAUAUGCCCGAGAAGCAAGACUAUCUCUGAUCAUCCAUUCAGGAAGCGAGACUAUCCUUGAUCACGUUUUCGCCACAUCAGGGAACUGUGAAGGCGACCUUAUGCUCUAAUCUCCGAAAGUUCUUCUAGACUAGGAGAAAUGAGAGCUGGUUGUUUGCUCCCACCAGCUUGCUUCCUUGAUUGCUGAGCUUGUUGUCUGCUCCCACCAGCUUCCUUCCUUGAUUGCUUACCUUCUCUUGCAAUCAAUAUCACAUUAUUUUUGCAUUAUUUCUCUUUUUAUAACUCUCUGUUCAUAAGGGAUUUUAUUUCUUUAGAAUGAACAUCUGAAGAAUGAAUCCAUGCAGUGAUCCUAACUCUGAGAGUUAUUUGUUUUUGACAGAGAAAAGAAUUGUGAUUUUUGCUCUUGCAGGAUAUAACAAGAUCAUCAAGCGAUACUUUAUAUUUACUGGGCCGAUACGAGCUUGAAUGAUACUUGAGAAAAGUUUCUCCCACCUAAGGAUGUAAGCAAUACUUGUGUUAUAUUAUGCUUAUAUACCUAUUUGAUAUUUUAUCUUGAAAGGUAACCAAAUGGGAAGAUAAGUCCGUUCCAAAAGAAUGGCUUGUAUGUAUCCAUGAAUUAUUAAUGCAAAUUUUACAGAUUGCAAGUUGGAUACAUUGAUAAUACACUGCACAGAUUAAUGUACCAUAAGAACAGAAUAUGGGUAUAGCAGUGAUCAAUAUGAUGCACGCCUGUUGCGUAGCAAAUGAUAUGGAUUGAAGUCCCGAAAGGACAAUCCUUUGACAUGUCAAUAUUGAUAUUAUGCACGCCUAAUGCGUAGCAAAUUAUAUGGGUUAAAGUCCCAUAAUAUGGGUUAAAGUCCCAGAAAUUAAUUGACAUGUAUGUAUUAAUCUGUGGCAUGCCUGCAGCAUGACAGAUAUAUGGGUGCACGCCUGUUGCGUAGCAAAUGAUAUGGAUUGAAGUCCCGAAAGGAAAAUCCUUUGACAUGUCAAUAUUGAUAUUAUGCACGCCUAAUGCGUAGCAAAUUAUAUGGGUUAAAGUCCCAUAAUAUGGGUUAAAGUCCAAUAAAUUAAUUGACAUGUAUGUAUUAAUCUGUGGCAUGCCUGCAGCAUGACAGAUAUAUGGGUUCUAAAUGUUCCAACUCCCUAAAUGGAGAUUAUCCACGCCCUACUAUAAAAUAACGCUCCAUUGGAGGUUAUAAUCCACAUUCUCACACAAUAAAAGCCCCCUGCAGUGGCUUGGGUACCCAAAAGCAAAGAAAUGCUUAUAAUUGAUGCACGCGCAUGCAAAUGAGAAUGAUGGGAUCAUGAAUUGAGGAAUGACAAUUUUUGGUUUUGGAGUAGCUACUCAAAUCAUCAAUGGGCUGUGUUGAUUGGAACCACGUUCAAUUAUUAAAUGUCGACAAUAUCAUUGGCCAAAAUGGAACGAGGUAAUUCCAUUAUAAAUGGGAAUGAACGUGAAAGAACAAACCCACAAUACGAACCCCAAAAUUUGUUAAUACUGAAUUUAUACUUGGGUGUUCGGAAUAAAAGGGAAUAUACCUACUUUGUAUGACACACUGUUUUCUAGCAGAAACAAGGAAUGUUGGGUUUUCUCCAUAUUUACAGAUUCAAUUGUGCCCCCCCUUAUUACACAAUUACGGAGACCAACAUAUUAUCUUUAAGGGUUAUUAAAUGAACGGAGCAUAUCGCCAGAAGCGAUUCCCUAAAGAUGUAUAAAUAGCUGGGUUAAAGCUAUAUAAUGUGUCAUAAAGUUUAAUCCCCUUUUUAAACAAAAUCCGUUGAGAGGAUUGACAUUGCAUAAAGCAAGUCCCUAAAGGACAUGUGCUUGAAGCACAAAAUUUGUACUCAAGAUUAAUAUGCAUAAAUUACCUCAGUGAGUACAUUGAUUAUAAUGUGAUUGCAACACAUUAAAGCUUCUGCAGAAUUCACGAAAUAUUUGUCUCGAUUGAGCAUUAUGCCAACGAGAUUCUUGCUUAUACUAAGAAAGUAUUGAAGCAUUUUUAUGAGUCUUAUCCGUUGGUCCUUAAAUGUUUUUCCGGAAGUAUACUAGACCAGAUAGAGCUCAGCUCCACACUGUACUCUUUUUCCUUCAUCCAGGUUUUUAUCCCAUUGGGUUUUUCCUGGUAAGGUUUUAACGAGGCAGUGUAGCUCAAAGGUUUAGGGUAUACUAUGAAAAUUUCUAUGGUCGCUUACUGGACAGAAGCUAGUCCUAAAUUUUUCAGGGGGAGAUAUUCAUCAGGGGGAGCAUGGUUUUAAUAAAGACCUUCAUACACUGUACUCUUUUUCCUUCAUCCAGGUUUUUAUCCCACUGGGUUUUUCCUGGUAAGGUUUUAACGAGGCAAUGUCACUCAAGAGUGACUCACAGAAGCAGUGUCAACUACGAUAUUCAGAAAGGUGAACAACAGUAUGACUUAAAGAUAUUUUGCCAAGCAUCAGGGGGAGCGCGCUAUCAAUAAAGAUCUUCAAACACUGUACUCUUUUUCCUUCGUCCAGGUUUUUAUCCCACUGGGUUUUUCCUGGCAAGGUUUUAACGAGGCAGUGUCGCACGCGCGUCAAUAUACAUAGAAUUUAAUAUUACACAUGAUUAUGUACUCUUUUUCCCUUUGACCAGUUUUUGUCACACUGGGUUUUUACUGGCAAGGUUUUUAACGAGACAUAUUCUGUAUCAUUUGUGGUCUCCAAGGGGGAGUGUUGUAAAUGUGGAGCCCAAAUGCCUAUAAAUAGGGCUUCUCCAUUUGUAACAAAACACACAAUAAGAAGAGAAAAACUUCUCUCUCUCUCUCCAUCUAAAUUCUCUGUCAAUUCCCUCUCCAAUUCCUCUUGAUUUAUAACAAGUUGUAUAUUUUUUUUGGCCUAUUGAGUAAACUAUUGCGUACAAAAGUACUAAAUUGAAAUGAGUGGUUUUUUCCCAUAAAUGUAGUAUAAUUUUACUAUUAUAUUCACAUUAAAAUACAAUUUUGACAAGUAUUGAUUUGUGGUGAGGGGUCCAUAGGCUUAAGUAUAGCAAUUUUUCUUUGCAUUUGUUACCACAUCCAAUAUAUACAUUCAAAAGGGUUAAAUAAAUUGGAGGGGCCAAGGCCAUCCCAGGCCUUAGUACAGCUCCGCCCCUGUGUCCAGAGAUUAAGGUACGGGCUCCAUUUGCUUCUGUGGCUAUUUCUCCGGAACAUGUUGCACAGGCGAUGAGUUUUUCUCAAAUACUUCUUUCUGACUUCGUUCUCUUCUCUGUAUAGUUUUGCUGGAUAUAAUUCAGUAGAAAUGCUAGCUUUAUAUUGGCCCCUUUUUUUUUCUUCUCAUUUCCUGGAAAUAUAAAUCUCGUGCAAGCUUUACUGGUCCUUUUCUCUCCUUUCCCUUCUUUUUGUUUAAUUAAGCAUAUACAGAAUCAAGAUAUUCAUGUGGUAAAAACUACAAGAGUUCUUUUGUUUACCUUGUAAAGAGAGUAAGUGGGUGUCCAAUUUGAACCAAAAAAAUUUCAUUUCCCUGUUUCACAUAAAAUUGAAAAACUGAAAUUAAUUACCAAACAACUUUUUUCAGUUAUUUUUUUUAAAAUUGAAAAUAAAAAACUGAUGGUUAUCAAACGAACCCUUAAUAUUUUCGUUUCGUCUUGUUUGAGUGGGAUCCCUUUACAUAUUUUAUUGGUUUGUUUUGUAAUUCUUUGUCAUAGGGUUCAGGGAUUAUGAUUAUGAUUUCAUCUUUUCCAGUUAAGGGAUUAUGAUUUCGAAACUUGAUGCUUACCUUUAUUUAUUUUUUAUGUUGAGUCUGAAAAAAGAAAAUGAUUUGGUUGUAAAUUUGUGAAUAAUAGGAUGGUAUGAAAAAAGCUCAAAAAAAAAUUAGAACCCGUUUGAUGACUAUUUCGGUAUUUUAUUUUUAGUUUCUAUUUUUCAAUUCAAAGAAAUUGAAAGCAUAAAACUUCUUUGGUUAUUAAUUUUAAGGCCUCGUUUGAUAACCAUUUUAUUUUAUUUUCUGUUUUUUUAUUAUUAUUAAAGAAAAACAGAAAACAUAUUUGAUAAAACUUUUCAUUGUCAGAUUUCAAAGUUACCCUUUCUAAUUCUCAUGAAUCAAACAUUUUCAAAUAAUCCAUUCUCUAAAACAAACAGUGCUUAAUAAGUAUUGACAUCUGAAUCAAUACUUGAUGAACUAUCUAAGACAACAUGCAAACUACGUUCAUUAGAUAUAUGCUUUUGACCUCAUUAUUCUUGUAGUGACCUACAAUUAGAAUAGUACACUACAAUUAGAAUAGUAUAUUAUCAUUUUGCAUGUCGAAACGGUUUUCGAUUUAUCUAAUUUUUUGUAAGGAUGAUUUAUGAAUGAAGACCUAAAAAAUAGAGAGUUUGGAUCAUUGAAAAAAAUAUUCGUAGAGUACCUUAAAGGGUGUCCCUUAAAUAAAAUUAUUUGAAGGAUCCUCAAUAUAUAUAUAUGUACAUGAUGAGUAGUAUAUAUAUUAUAACAUAAUCAAAGCCAAUUGUUAGAUUUCCUUCAUGAUUAUAACACAUUAUAUAAUAAUUCAUGUUUCUUCAAUAGAUUCUACAAAGGGCCACUUGUUAGAUUUGUAGGCUCACUCCGCAUUGUAUUUCAUUAAUCUAAAUUCUACAUUCUAGAUAAUCAUUCAAAAAUCAUAUCUACAAAAAAUCACUUGAAUCCGAUAUUGUUUGACCACUCAAUUGUGUUAUUGAAAUUUUAGUACUUUCUUGAAGCACUGUGUUCUUUGAUUUUGUAGGAUACAAUUGGAUGUCGAAACGGUUUCCGAUUUAUCUAAUUUUUUGUAAAGAUGACGAGUAGUGUAUAUUCUUUUAAAAACAACAUAAAAAUAGUGGUAUGUUGUAAAAUAAAGAAGGUGGAGUCCAAAAUGAUGCUUACCUAUAAAGCUUCCCCCCCACUUGUAUUGGUAGGGAGAAGGUGGAGUCCAAAAUGGUAAUGAUGAUGCUUGCCAACACAAGAAGAAUGAUUAGGCAACCACUUUGUUCUGCCUACAAAUAAGGCUUCCUCCUCACUUGUAAUAUAUAGAACAUAGAUACAGAUAUGUGAAGAACUCUCUAUUCAAUAAGAGAUCAGUUUCUCUCUAUCUCAAUUCUCUCCAUUUUCUCUCUUGAUUUAUAACACGUUAUCAGCACGAAGCUCUAACCAGCUGAGUUUUCUGAUAAAAACCAGAGACCAAAAUCAACCGGAAUUCUCAGCUUCUCAAUCCCAAUCCUUGGAGGGGAAAUAUGGCUGAGCGGCAGAGCCGAAGAAAUAUCAAACACAUAAACGAGCCUGAAAAACAAAGAGAGUCUGCAGCCAGCAAUCCAAAGCAGAGAAAGAUCUCUGCUGGCGUCCUUGCCCGACUUGCCGUCCGUCACGUCAAAGACGUUGUAUUGGAUCAGCUGCUGUGCUGUUAGCUCCAUGGUUGCGUCCACACAGAUGCUAAAGGAGCAAAUGACAAGAAGCUCACAACUUGCGGGUCCUGGGCUUAGGCCAGCAGGUCAUAGUCCUAGCCCACGGCUUCGGCACCGACCAGUCGGUCUGAAAGCACCUCGUCCCCCACCGACUACAGAGUCGUCAUGUACGACAACAUGGGCGCCGGAACGACAAAGCCCGAAUACGCCGACUCGGUCACCUUCCCCACAGGCCGAGCAGAGUCCUCUGCCUUCUAAGAUCCUACCACCAAGCCUGCUUACAGCUUCAACAACCUGUCCUCUCAGUUUUUUGUGACAACAAACAGCCACCUCUUGUGAAAUGUGGUCAAGAGGGACAAUAUCCUAUCUGAUGAUGAAAGCUCAUCUUUUGGUCUGCGAAGCUUUUUAUGCACAGAAACAGGUGGACCUUGCUGGGCUUCAUGUUCUCCGGGAUGACGAAGAGCGGCGCGGAGAAGAUCAGGCCCGUCCAAGUGUCGGGCUGGGACUGGAAGUACAUGAGCAUGGUGGCAGCGCCGCCCAUGGACUCGCCGAAGAGGAAGGCAGGGAGGCGGAGGUAUAAUUCGUUGCGGCGCACGUGGAGGAAGAAGGAGAGUGAAGCUUCCUCUGACCAAUGCUCCCGAAGAAAAGCUUUUAACUCAGGAGCUACAGCCUCAUCAUCAGACCGAGCAAUACUGUCUGCAACAGCAUAAGUAGCUGCUGGAUCACCCAAGAAGUCGGAAUGGAGAAGAAAUGCAACACCAUCAAGAGAAAGACCACCACCUGUCAGAUGCGGCACAUGCGCACAUGCAACCUAAUAGUCUCCUGACCACUUGGCACAUGCGCACAUGCACACACGGUUUUGUGGCUACUAAUCUUGGUUAAACUGAAAACAGAUGCCUCCAUAUAUUUCUUUACGAUCAGAUGUGGGCCAUAUCUAUGAAUUGUUUUGUAGAUUGAUAUCUUUGAUGAUGGAUAUCGGUGGAGGAAGUAUGGUCAAAAAGUAAGCCACUAAAAGUGGUUGAAAGGCCGGUGUUGAUAUGAUGCAAGGCACUGGAAAUCUAGUAAGCAUGCCCAAAAAGUGACCCUAUGCUGGAGUAUAUUUUGAAAAGUGGGAUACACAGCAAGUUGAUCAGCCUAGUGGAAAGCAAAGGAUUAUUGCCAGGGAUAUGAACACCCACCGAAAUAAAGGGAUAAGUAUUCUGCCUCACUCUAUUUCCUUCAAUUAAAUACAUUAUUAAAAUAUCUACAGAAUUUAAUACUCAUGACCAGUGUAGAUUGCAGGUGGAAAGAAGAAAAAGCCAACGUGAUAUAUCUAGCUUUCCACUAAUAUAUCAGUAUAAUAAUAUUACACUAUUUAAUUGUGGUGUUGAUAAGAACCCACCAAUAAUUGCCUUUAUUUUUAUUUAAAAGUAUGGAGCAGAAUUAGUGCCCAUACAAGCACGUUUAAUUUACCGCACAUUUAAUUUUAUUUAAAGUAUGGUGCGGGAUUAACGUCCAUACAACAAGCAAUUUAAUUUAUGAAAUUAAUUUACCGCACAUUUACAUUUAUUUAAAAGGGUGGUGCGGGUUUAUCGUCCACGCCUUUACUUUUAUUUAAAUGUAUGGUGCGGGUUUAUCGUCCAUACCAGUAAUUUAUUUACCAGCAAUCUAUUUUAUGGAUUAAAUGUGUUGUAUGAUGAGUUUUUACAGUAAGCAGAUCAGGACCAGAAGUUCCUUGAUCCUCAUCAUACAAUUACAUCAGGACUUGAAGAUCCUUGAUGAUGAUGUUAAUAUGAGAGCUGGCAGUCUCUCCGGUACUAUAUUUGUAAACAUGUUAUUGGACUUGAGGGUCCUUGAUCCUUGACAUGUAAAUAAGGAACUCGGGUUCCUUAAUGAUGUAACAGUACCGUAUUGGUUCAUAAUGCUGUACACUUGGAUGAUAACUGUACUAGCAAAUGUACUGUACACAUAAAUAGUGCACUAUAUAUGAAUAGUGAUGUAUGCAUAAAUAUUUACCAUUUCGGGUAAACUAUCACCAUUCAAAAGGGACCUACAGUUCCUUAAACUCAUGGAUGAGCAAUUAAAUGAGAUGCCAGAAGUUCCUCAAAAUAUGGACAAUUAUGUAAGGACUUGAAGUCUAGAAAUAUGUACAGAAAAUUGUAAAAAUGUCCAUACCAUGAGAAUAUGUGAUUUUGGCCCGAAUUUCAAAAUCUAAGGGGAUUGAAUGUCCAUACCAUAAGAAUAUGUGAUUUUUGGCCUAAAAUUCAAAAUCUAACAGUGUUGAGAACCUGAAGUUCCAACAAUUAAAUGGACAACCCUUGAGGUAUUAUUGCAAAUUGUGGUACGCCACAUAUCUCUUUGGCAUAAGAGAAUGAUGAAUUGAGGCUCCCCACAUAUUUUGUUAUAUCUGGGCCGGAAGCUCAUGAACCCAAAUAUAUGAGAUAUUAGCGUGGCUUUUACUCAAUUCAUAUUUCAUGUCCAUUUUGAAAAGGGCAAAUAAAUUCUGAGUUUUGUGUUUAGCCCAGGCCAAAAAGUUCUGGGCUCCCAUACGUUGAAAUAUGAAAUUUGGGAGAGUCGAUGUGGUUAUUUGAACCUAUAAGGCACAAGGUUCCAAACCGUCAUUUUGAAAAGACGUAAAAACCACAGGUGCAAAUUUUAAGAAUGUGCGCAAUUAUUAUAACAGGAAAGGAGCAAGUUGAAACGCAGUUGCUCCAAUCAAGUUUUGCAAAGGCAAUAUCUAUAGGAAGAAAUAUGGCUACAGUUUCCAGGAUCCCAAUAUUAUCUCAGAUGCCCAUAUUAUCUUUUUCUUUCCCAGAUUCCAAAACUUCACGUGGCCUCCAUUAAAUGUUUGUCGGCACUUUCGGCGUUUUCAAAGUUUUAUUUUCAUCAAAAACCGAUCUUGCUUUACGGAUUUCACGGAGCUACUUUUUCAAAAGUACCCCGAGAAUCUCGCAAUUUUCUUAUGGUUAAUUUGAAAUUCACCGGUUCUACCUAUUCAUUAUAUUUGUGUAUAAAUGUGUUACUAACGAAAUUUUCUUUGCAGAAGACAUCUAGUUUUUCUCCAUACCUAGUGAUGCGAUACCUACUUGUUUUUCUAAUCAGUGAGCACUUAAUAUGCCCGAGAAGCAAGACUAUCUCUGAUCAUCCAUUCAGGAAGCGAGACUAUCCCUGAUCACGUUUCCGCUACAUCAGGAAACUGUGAAGGCGAUCUUAUGCUCUAAUCUCUGGAAGUCCUUCUAGACUAGGAGAUAUGAGAGCUUAUUGUCUGCUCCCACCAGCUUCCUUCCCUGAUUGCUUACCUUCUUUUUUUGCAUUUUUUCUCUUUCUGUAACUCUCUGAGGAUUAUUUGUUUUUGACAGAGAAAAGAGUUGUGAUUUUACUAUUGCAGGAUAUAACUAGAUCAUCAAGCGCUACAUUUACUGGGCCGAUACAAGCUUGAAUGAUACUUGAGAAAAGUUUCUCCCACCUAAGGAUGUAAGCAAUACUUGUGUUAUUUUUUGCUUAUAUACUUAUUUGAUAUUUUAUCUUGAAAGGUAACUAAAUGGGAAGAUAAGUCCGUUCCAAAAGAAUGGCUUGUAUGUAUCCAUGAAUUAUUAAUGCAAAUUUCACAGAUUGCAAGUUGGAUACAUUGAUAAUACACUGCAUAGAUUAAUGUACCAUAAGAACAGAAUAUGGGUAUAGCAGUGAUCAAUAUGAUGCACGCCUGUUGCGUAGCAAAUGAUAUGGAUUGAAGUCCCGAAAGAACAAUCCUUUGACAUGUCAAUAUUGAUAUUAUGCACGCCUAAUGCGUAGCAAAUUAUAUGGGUUAAAGUCCCAUAAUAUGGGUUAAAGUCCCAGAAAUUAAUUGACAUGUAUGUAUUAAUCUGUGGCAUGCCUGCAGCAUGACAGAUAUAUGGGUUCUAAAUGUUCCAACUCUCUAAACAGAGAUUAUCCACGCCCUACUGUAAAAUAACGCUCCAUUGGAGGUUAUAAUCCACAUUCUCACAUAAUAAAAGCCCCAUGAAGUGGCUUGGGUACCCAAAAGCAAAGAAAUGCUUAUAAUUAAUGCAUGCGCAUGCACAUGAGAAUGGUGAGAUCAUGAAUUGAUGAAUGACAAUUUUUGGUUUUGGAGUAGCUACUCAAAUCAUCAAUGGGCUGUGUUGAUUGGAACCACGUUCAAUUAUUAAAUGUCGACAAUAUUAUUGGCCAAAAUGGAAUGAUGUAAUUCCAUUAUAGAUGAGAAUGAACGUGAAAGAACAAACCCACAGUACGAACCCCAAAAGAUGUUAAUACUGAAACUUAUACUUGGGUGUUCGGAAUAAAAGGGAAUAUACCUACUUUGUAUGACACAAUGUUUCUGGCAGAAACAAGGAAUGUUGGGUUUUCUCCAUAUUUACAGAUUCAAUUGUGCCCCCCCCUUAUUACACAAUUACGAAGACCAACAUAUUAUCUUUAGGGGUUAUUAAAUGCACGGAGCAUAUCGCUAGAAGCGAUUUCCUAAAGAUGUAUAAAUAGCUGGGUUAAAGCUAUAUAAUGUGUCAUAAAGUUUAAUCCCUUUUAAACAAAAUCCGUUGAGAGGAUUGACAUUGCAUAAAGCAAGUCCCUAAAGGACAUGUGCUUGAAGCACAAAAUUUGUACUCAAUAUUAAUAUGCAUAAAUUACCUCAGUGAGUACAUUGAUUAUAAUGUGAUUGCAACACAUUAAAACUUCUGCAGAAUUCACGAAAUAUUUGUCUCGAUCGAGCAUUAUGCCAACGAGAUUCUUGCUUAUACUAAGAAAGUAUUGAAGCAUUUUUAUGAGUCUUAUCCGUUGGUCCUUAAAUGUUUUUCCGGAAGUAUACUAGACCAGAUAGAGCUCAGCUCCACACUGUACUCUUUUUCCUUCAUCCAGGUUUUUAUCCCACUGGGUUUUUCCUGGUAAGGUUUUAACGAGGCAGUGUCGCUCAAGAUUGACUCACAGAAGCAGUCUCAACUACGAUAUUCAGAAAGGUGAUCAACAGUAUGACUUAAAGAUAUUUUGCCAAGCAUCAGGGGGAGCGUGCUAUCAUUAAAGAUCUUCAAACACUGUACUCUUUUUCCUUCGUACAGGUUUUUAUCCCACUGGAUUUUUCCUGGCAAGGUUUUAACGAGGCAGUGUCGCACGCGCGUCAAUAUACAUAGAAUUUUAUGUUACACAUAAUUAUGUACUCUUUUUCCUUUGACCAGUUUUUUUUUUUUGUCCCACUGGGUUUUUACUGGCAAGGUUUUUAACGAGGCAUAUUACAUAUCAUUUGUGGUCUCCAAGGGGGAGUGUUGUAAAAUAAAGAAGGUGGAGUCCAAAAUGAUGCUUACCUAUAAAGCUUCCCCCCCACUUGUAUUGGUAGGGAGAAGGUGGAGUCCAAAAUGGUAAUGAUGAUGCUUGCCAACACAAGAAGAAUGAUUAGGCAACCACUUUGUUCUGCCUACAAAUAAGGCUUCCUCCUCACUUGUAAUAUAUAGAACAUAGAUACAGAUAUGUGAAGAACUCUCUAUUCAAUAAGAGAUCAGUUUUUCUCUAUCUCAAUUCUCUCCAUUUUCUCUCUUGAUUUAUAACAUGGUAUUUCUUUUCAUUUUAUUAAAGGUAAGAAAUUCAAAACUUAUCUCAAAUUGACUUUAUUGAAAAUUUAAAAUUCUAACUAAACUCCACAGCACACAUGUUCCUUCACUGAUGACGUAGGAAACUUAACAUCCCUCCCUUUGAAGUGAAUUUAUCAAUCUACUUCUAUUUCCAUGGCCUAUAUCAAAUUGCAUUAAACAUAGUCAAUAAACGUCAUAAUUUUGUGAUCGUACUCGCCUGUGGUCCUCUUUUCCUUUCAAAGUACCUGAAGCCAACCUUCCCUAAGGACACCCAGACCCAAUCGAGAUAGAAAAAGGCCGCCCUAGCCCAUAUAACAACCAUACAGCGGAUUAGAGAGAGAAAAUAAAAUAUCGUUUCAGCCCCUCCUUACCCAGAGAAACCUUUACACCCUUCCAAGUCCAUCUUUAUCGCUUUCCCAUUGAGUCACAAACCCACGUAACUACGCGCAGUGAUUUAACUUUCAACAUUUGUGUAUAUUAAAUGUGAGACGAAAGGAUAUCUCGCCAAUGUGGGACUAAUAAUUGUCAUUUGGCAAGAGAAGCCCAAUUUAUUUUCUACUAAAGAUUGAGGUGAAACUCAGAUUGUUUCAACCAUAAUGAUUAAACUUGUCAAAACUCAACAUCAAAACCGACAUGAUUAUCUUCUCAUCUUUAAUUGACAAUCACUCAUCUUCACUUAUUUUAGAAUGCGUUGCUUCGCAAAAAUCAAAACCUGGAGAGUUUGCAACUCCAACUUUGGCAAUUUAUUUCUUGGGUUUUUGCUUACACAAUCUCUAAUUUUUUGCUGUGCGGUGGCGGCUCCAUUUUAGGCCAUAUCGCUGCUUGUCGGUCAAUCAUUAGUUAUGUAAGUUCAGCUCAGUUACGAACCAAUUCCACCCCUAUCUAAAGAGGUUAGUAUUUUUAUGUUACACUUGUAUUGGUACUUUUAGUCGUAUUGAAACUACAACACAAUAUCUAGUAUGCGUAGAAUUAAAAAUUAAAUUAUUGAGGAGUUAUGUUAUGCUUAGAUAAGUAAAAAGGAUGAACAUUUUACUCUGAGAUUUUCCAACUCCAACUUCUGGUAAUUUGCUUCUUGGGUUUUCGCUUACCGGAUUUCUAAUUUUAAUUGAGGAAGUGAACUAGCUAGGAAACCUUAACAAGAAGCAUAAAACCAUUACAUAAUUAUUUUUAAAUAAAAAGAGCCCUCAUCUCACAUCAAGAAAGUACACAUCAAGUUUUUAAAUUCUCUCACAAUUAAUCCUUAAAAGUUCAAACUUAAUUUUUGAAAUUUGGGUUUUUUUAAAAGUUCGUUUAUUAAACCUCUAAUUAGGAAACCCCUUCAAAACCAAACAAAAUUCAUUUAGAAAUUAAAGAGAAAAAAACACCAUAUUCAAAAAUUCCCAAGAAAGAAAAACCAUUAUAUCAAUAAAAAAUUACAUUUUAUUAAACCUCUAAUUAUUAACUUGUAUUAGGAAAACCACAUACACAAAAAGAUGGACGUCGGGGGUUGAAGAGCCCCCACGGUGGGUGGCUACAUGAGGGGUGCCGGUGAGCUACUCUGGAGGGAGUAAUGCAGUAAGAGUGUCUUCUCGCUGCUCUGGUAAGCCAACGAGCUUUACAGCAUGCUGCAAAUUACAUCUUCCAUCUUCGCAAGGCGGAAGAAUAUUCUUGACGGCCUGCACUUCAGGGUUGGCCUAGCCGUUAGGGUUGUCCUCAGGUUCCUAAUUCCCUUCCAAACCAUCCUUAUUGCCCCCACAAUGGGUCACAUGCUCGCGUGACUGAGCUCGGCGUUUCUAAAGCCAAUACUUGGGUAUAUUAGGUGCUUAACUGUUGGCUAUUCUAUCGAUGUGGGAUUGUGAGUAUAUGAAAUAUGAGUUCUCUUUCUUCAUGUAUUUUGAAUGAAAACCUUUGCAUCUCUUUGGUCAUAUCUAUUAAACAUGAAAUACAAAGAUGAUUUUUCUAACAGUUUUUGCGUAUUUCAACUAGAUUAUGAACACCAAACAGAUUGAACAAAAUGGAGAAAUCUAUUGCUUAUUUUGUUUGGUUUCAAACUAUACAAGAUGGUUGCCAAGAGCAGUUUCGAGUGCCAUUCUCAAUGAAGAUCCUGUGCACGUAGAACAAUCCAAAUCUUAUGUUUUUGCCUCAAGAAUUCUGGCGUUUGGAUUUUUAUACUUCGGUGUGUCUUAUGAAGGUCCUCGCCGAUCCUCUUUUAGUAGUGCUUAAACCCUAGAAUGCUAUGCUUCUAUUUUAUUUUAUUUUAUUGUUCGAAAAAUGCAAUGCUUCUAAGGACAAGCGAUAUUGAAAGCACAGCAGGAAAACAAGAAUGCAAAAGGUUUCACUUUCAAUAUGGAAUUUUUAUGAAAAUCUAGAUAGUGACAACAUAUUAACACUAACCUGAUUUGGACAUGGUGAUGAUGUUGAUAGCACAACAGGAAAACCAGAGAGUUCUUCGUUUAGAAGCCGAGCCUUAUAGCAGUGAUUCUAGAUGGGGUGAAUUUCUGUAAAGCUUAAGUAUUUCAAGUUUAUGAGGGAACCCUCUAUUUAUAUGCAUCUCUCUAGGAGUCUUGCCCAUCAAGAAACUCCUAGAGAUAACCUUUAUGUGAUAGGAUUAUCUUCUCAUCUUUAAUGACAAUCACUCAUCUUUACUUCUUUUAGAAUGCGUUGCUUCUCCAAAAUCUAAAACCAUGGAGAGUUUGUAACUCCAACUUUUGGCAAUUUACUUCUUGGGUUUUCGCUUACACAAUUUCUAAUUUCAGGUGGUGCGGUGGCGACUCAUUUUUAGGCCAUUUCGGCACUUGUCAGUCAGUCACUAAUCACGUAAGUUUGGUUUGUUUACCAAACCAAUUCCACACCUAUUUGAAGGGGAUAGUAUUUUUAUGUUACACUUUUAUUGGUACUUUUAGUUGUAUUGAAACUACAACACAAUGUCUAUUUGUGUAGAAUUAAAAAUUAAAUUAUUGAGUUAUGUUGUACUUAGAUAAGUAAAAAGGAUGAAAAUUGUACUAAAAAGGAUUUUCCAACUCCAACUUUUGGUGAUUUGCUUCUUGAGUUUUCGCUUAUCCGAUUUCUAAUUUUAGCCCUCUAAUCAUUUGUCUCUCUCAAAUUUAAUUGAGGUAGUUAACUAUCAAGGAAACCUUAACAAGAAGCAUAAAACCAUUACUUAAUUAUUUUUAAUAAAAAGAGCCCUCAUCUCACAUCAAGAAAGCACACAUCAAGUUUUUAAAUUCUUUCGCAAUUAAUCCUUAAAAGUUCAAACCAAACAAAAUUCAUUUGGAAAAUUAAAAAUUACAGCAAAUUCAAAAAAAAAAAAAUUCCCAAGAAAAGAAAAACCAUUAUAUAUAACUAAAACCCCUUUUAUAAGAUCAUCACACCAAUUUUAUUAUUUUUUCAAUUAGUUGUUAAUAUUUUAUUACACAUAAUGUGGACCCUACGAAUGACAUAUCAUCACUUAACUGAUUUCGCUACGAUCAAAGUAAUGACGGAACCAUAUAGCAAUAAAUUUCCAAUGUGGGGUACUAUAUUAUUAAAAUUGAAAGGGCAUGGAUAAAUAACAUACCUAACGGCUUAAGGAUACAAUUGCUUGGUAACUUAAUUUUAUGUUCGUUUAUUAAAACUAACCCACAGCUGUAAAGACGUCUCUCAUCUUCAUCAAGGAGGAAGUAACUCUAUAGCCCUGCCCUUCAGGGCUGGCCUAACCGAAACGGCCUGCACUUCAGGGCUACCUCUUUCUCUUACUACCCAAGUGCGUGAUGUAACCUGUAACUCCUUUGCAUCCAGAUUGGCACGCCGACAAGGGCCCACUGUGCCCCUCAUGUGCGCGCACAUGCCGUCCGCAGGCUCCUACCCCUUCCUAACCAUCCUUAAUGCCCCCACAUUGGGUCACAAACUCACAUGACUGAGCUCAGCACUUCUCAAACCAAGACUUGGGUAUAUUAGGUGCUUAACUUUUCUCUAUUUUAUCGAUGUGGGAUUGUGAAUACAUAAAAUCUGAGUUAUCUUUCUUCACGUAUUUGAAUGAAAAAGCUUUGCAUCUCUUUGGUCAUAUCUAUUUAACAUGAAAUAGAAAGAUGAUUUUUCUAACAGUUUUUGCGUAUUUCAACUAAGUUAUGAACACCAAACAGAUUGAACAAAAUGGAGAAAUCUAUUGCUUGUUUUGUUUGGUUUCAAACUAUACAAGAUGGUUGCCAAGAGCAUUUUCGAGUGCCAUUCUCAAUGAAGAUCCUGUGCACGUAGAACAAUCCAAAGAGUUGAUUGAUUUGCAGAGUCCAAAUCUUAUGUUUUUGCCUCAAGAAUUCUGGGGUUGGGGAUUUAUACUUUGGCCUUCAGCUUCGACUAGAUAAACAAGUUUAUUGUUGACGCACCAACUUCCCCAAAUAUCCAAUUUGAAGAAAGAAAUUUUCAAAGUCAAUACUCAGUCUCCUCUGAUAAACUUUAUGAAUGGAAUAUUGAUGGUCUGUCUGAACAAGAAAUUAUGAAUAAAUUACAACAUAUGUUUACGGUCGCCAAUAGUUACAUUACUAACCAUAACCUAAAACAGUCAGAAAUAGUACCUCUCCUAGAAAUAGGAUUCACAAGAACCUUACGUAUAAAAAUAAAUUUUUUAAAAAAGAAAAAGAUAAAAUAAAUUAUUUAACAAAUAAAAAUGGAUAGAAUAAAUAAGAUAGCAGAGUAAAUUCAACCAAAAACAAAAGCCAUAAAAUAUGUAAAAAGAAGAGCACAAAACAAAAACCAUAAAAUAUGUAAAAAGAAGAUGCACAAAAGGAUGGAGGUUGGGUUAUAGAGCGGGCCUGGAGCCUAACAGAGGGUGCCGGCACGUGGAACCCAAGCACAGACAAACGGAGCGCCAUCUGCUGCUCUAAUAAGCCAGCAUUCUUUGUUGCACAAAGACGUUUGAUCUUUUCCACUUCGUUGUCAGCCUCGGAAGAUCUCUACCUAAUUACAGGCAAAGCGGCAUUUUUGCAAAGCCACCUCUCCCACUCUCCAAUUCUGCGACGGGGGUUAAGAACCCACAAUCUCGCCCCAACCCCAAAGCAUCUCUGGCCAAAUUUGUGCCUCGCAUAUAGACGUCUGACACCGAUUUCAUGCGGACGACGUUACACACUCUUCCCUUCCAUGCCAUCCUUAUUGCCCCCACUUUGGGUCACAAGUCAGCGUGACUUGACUCGGCAAUGGACGUUCGUAGAACUUGUUAUAUAAAUAGCACCACCGAAGUAUAAUUUGUCGAUGUGGGACAAAAUUGCAUGGCCUGGCGAGUUUUUUUGAUUUUUUUUUCCCACUUGAAAAAGAGUAAGUGGGUUUGUUGUCCAGAGAUUAAGGUACGGGCUCCAUUUGCUCCUGUGGCUAUUUCUCCGGAACAUGUUGCACAGGCGAUGAGUUUUUCUCAAAUACUUCUUUCUGACUUCGUUCUCUUCUCUGUAUAGUUUUGCUUGAUAUAAUUCAGUAGAAAUGCUAGCUUUAUAUUGGCCCUUUUUUUUUCUUCUCAUUUGCUGGAAAUAUAAAUCUCGUACAAGCUUUACUGGUCUUUUUCUCUCCUUUCUCUUCUUUUUGUUUAUUUGUUUUUUAAAUAUAAAAAUAAUAAUUAAGCAUGUACGGAAUCAGGAUAUUCAUGUGGUGAAAACUAGAAGAGUACUUUUGUUUCCCCUGUAAAGAGAGUAAGUGGGUGUCCAAUUU
rnacentral:lncRNA from 1 species